GCUAGUACAGAAAUGGUUGGAGUUGGACUGGAGCUGACUCUUGGACUCGAGCCUACAGCACGUGAGAACCACGUGGUUCCUGUCAAGAAAAGGAAAAUUGAAUCCUACGGCUACGCGUCAUCGGAUCACGACACGUGUAAGAUAGAGCUGGGACUUGAUUGUCCAGCAAGUCACUAAUCAAACAAAAUGUAAAUUACUGUAAGAAGGUUCAGUUUUGUCGGCUCAGCUUCAUCGGCUCUUCGUCUAGAAAAGAAGUCACUUUUUUUCUUUUUCAAUUUCCUUUGGUUUUUCCUUUUUUCUUAUGGUUUUCUUUGGGACCCUUAAUGGUGAAACAAUAGAGGUGUACAAAUAUGUUCUUUUUUUCUUUUUACAUUGAUAGACAUGGAAAAUCAACAGAGGGAUCUUCCAAAUUCUCAACAUUUCUUGACUGACAUGUCUUGAAGUCCUAAAUAUAUGAUCAGGUCUUGAAGUCGAAUGAAUCAUAUUUUCAGACCAAUCACUUGAAAAUAAUUUCUAAGAAGAUAGGUAUUGAAUUUGACAAAAGACAAUUUACUAUUUUUUGGGUGUAUGGUUCCAGUGAUCAUUUAUGUAAUAUUUAUUUAUUUAAAAUUAAUAAAUAAAUAUCAAUUAUUAAGACAAUCAAAUAUGUAGUGUUCUGGAAAAUUUUAUUUAGGAAAUUUUAAUUUUUAUUGUUUUCUAAUAUGUUCUUAGAAAAAUCGUUUUUUUUUUUUCUGUGUAUCUCAGCAGUUGAACUCCAAAAAGAAAAAGACGAAACAAAUAAAAAACUGAUGAUGAAAAGGAACGUCUAACUCGGCAGGAUGGAUACGAAGCGAUGGUAGCUAUGCAACAUAUAAAUACUCCGUUUACUCUUUUGAUUUACUUACUGAAUCUUAUAAUUUUUAUAUAUUUUAAAUAUUAAAUUAUUAAUAAUUUGUGUUUAAAUUUAUUAAUAUUAUUAAUAAUUCUAGUAUUCAAUGUUAAAUAAAUCUGUUAAUUAUUAGAUAUAAAAUGGAUAGUAAAAAUUUUAAUUUUAUCAAAAUAUUUAAAAUUUAUCAAAACUGACUAUAGUUAAAAAAAAUUAAAUUAUAAAAUUAUUUCUUUUUAGAUUUUUGACUUCAAUAAAAAUUACCAUAUGACCGGUUUUAGAUAAUAAACUGAUAAAAAAUUUAAUUAAUAGUAAAAUAUCAAGCAAUUGACACUAAACGGAGUAAUAAUUAUUGAAUCAAUGAUGUUUAUUUUAAAAAAGAAAAAGUCAAUGAUGUUAAUAACUUUAAAUGUAAACUGUACUAAAAUGUCACAUAAAAGAUUUACUAAAUUAAACUACAUAAUCGGCUUUUGCAACUUUUUCCAUAUACUAUCCAAAUUUCAAUACUAAAAAUAGUCAAGAAUAAUUAAUAAUUCCUUUUAUUCAUUAAAAGAUUGCCGGUUCUAAGAGUUUAAUUACAGAGAGAGAGAGAGAGAGAGAGGAUGGAUCGCUGGGAGUGGGAGUGGGAGUAGGAGAGAGAAGCAGUCCUUUUUGAAAAGGACAAUUGAAAGUCUCUGUUUCCAACUACUAAAACAAGGUAUUUUACGAGUUAUGGGAGGGUUACUGCAAAGCAUAGGUGUCAGGCUGGUGGCCAGGAUGCUCCCUGCCAUGUCCAUGCGCAUGUCUUGCACCUGUACUCCUACUGUUUCUCUUUCCCACCGGGCACAGCUGCAUUUUUGUUUGCCUCUAGAGGAGCAUAUUAAUCCUUAAAUUAAUUCUUUUAUGCAAUUAAACCUCUGCAUUUAUCAAAAAGCAGUAAUUUAUUAGUUUACUCCCUUCAAACGUAAAUAAAAAUGAAAGGGUUCUUAUGCAGACGUAAAUAUGAUAUAUGAUAUACAAGUAAAUUGAUUAUUUGAAAAUAAAUCGAAACUAUGAUGGAUGCCUGAAAGAAAUGCAAAGCAAAGUUGAUAUUUUUAUAUAUGUGCAGAUAGGGGAUCCUAUGGUGGGGGGGGGGGGGGGNNNNNNNNNNNNNNNNNNNNNNNNNNNNNNNNNNNNNNNNNNNNNNNNNNNNNNNNNNNNNNNNNNNNNNNNNNNNNNNNNNNNNNNNNNNNNNNNNNNNNNNNNNNNNNNNNNNNNNNNNNNNNNNNNNNNNNNNNNNNNNNNNNNNNNNNNNNNNNNNNNNNNNNNNNNNNNNNNNNNNNNNNNNNNNNNNNNNNNNNNNNNNNNNNNNNNNNNAAACAAUUGUUUCCCUCUCGACGAUGAAGCUUAUCCCCUAUCGUCGAGCUGGCCGACCUUGACCCCUGUUAUUUUGAGGUCAUAUCUAGUAUUCAGAGUUUGCCUCAAUUUGGUAUCACUCUCGCGGCCCGCACCGAAACAAUGCUUUACCCCUAGAUGUCCAGUCAACUGCUGCGCUUCAACGCAUUUCGGGGAGAACCAGCUAGCUUUGGGUUCGAGUGGCAUUUCACCCCUAACCACAACUCAUUCGCUGAUUCUUCAAUAUCAGUCGGUUCGGACCUCCACCUAGUUUCACCCAAGUGUCACUUUGGUCCCUUAAUUUUUUGCGUAAAGAGAUCAAAUAGGCUGAUUAUCAUGUUUUCUAGCAAAUAAGUCCAAAACUUUCAAUUUUCAGACAAAAAACUCUAAAAUCGAAGUGGAACUUGCAUGUGAUAUAAAUAUGAUAAAAAAUAUUAAAUAAUACUAAUUAAUGAAUUAAAAAUAGAAAUUAACUUUUGAUAUUUAAAAUUGGUUAACCACUGUUACUAUCUUUCCUCAAAUUAGAAAAACCCUAAGAUUCACUUUAAAAGAAAGAAUUAAUUCAAAAAUAUCUUCUUCAUCAACAAUGUCAAAACAAAGGUAUUCACCACGUCACUAACAAUCAAUGGCUCGUCCUGCAAUUGCAUAAGGGCCUAAUUAUGGGUAUGAAGCGCUACCUCAUUUUUACAACUAUGAUUUGAAGGCACCAAAAUGGGUUGCUAACAAUCUAAGAAGGAAGUUCUACUCAUGCCCAUUUUAUAAGGUAAAAGUUAUAACAGAAAAAAUCUAUUGUAAAUAGGAAUUGUUCCCUAAUUUUUUAAUUUUGAAUAUAAUUUUUAGCAGAAGGAUGGUGAGAAUACAAUGAAGAAGCAGAAGAAAGGCUGUAACUGUUUUGAAUGGCAUGACGAGCGAUUCCCCAAGCAAACAGCCAAAGUAAUAACUGAAUUGAUUUGGAAAUUGUAAUCUAAGGAAAGAAAAAUUCAGAAUUAAGGUGUGUGUUAUGUGAUAGAAGAUUGCACUCUGAAUUUUUUGAUAUGCAGAUGGAAUGCAUUGGUUUGAGGAUGGAACUUGAAGCUGCCAAUGCUGCGAAAGAUAUGCAUAAGGCUCGUAUGUGGUGUAUUUUGGUCAUAUUGAUAUUGAAUUGGAUAGUGAUUUGGCUAUUGUGUUUAGCAGUGCUUAAACAUUAAGUUACUUUAUGCGUAGGUUUACUUGUACCACCACUGUGCUGGAAGUUGGUGUAAUAUGUCUUUAUCAAUGAAAAUUCAAGUUUCAGUAAAUAUAUUAUAGCAAUUGUUAGAUUUUUUUUGCAGUUUUCAUAUCCAUUAAAUUAGUUUGCACUAAAUAAUGAAUAAAAGCAUGAAAACAAUCUACAUUCACAAAAGAAGAGGGUCAAUUGACAUUGUCAGAAUAGUAAAAGCCCUAUGAAAAAAUAGCACCAAUGUACCAGCUAAUCAAACACAUUAUAAUAAUCUAGUUAGCACCAAAUUUGUGAACUUUAAAUUAGAUUUAACUAAUCUAAAUUAAGCCAAAAACCAAAACUAAAAAUUAGCCAAAGUUUGCUAAACUAUCAAGAAGACCAAGGACACUGGCAUUAUGGUUUUUAAGUAGGUUUCUUUCUCAGUGGUAGCUACGAGCACCUGUCAUGUAACACCCCCAUUACAUGCUAACCAAUAGACAUUAGCCAGAAAACAUACAAGCGUUGUAGAAUAUAUACUACAGGUAGAUAGGUCAAUAUGUAGGUUGUUAAGAAUCCAGACACAAGGUUAUUAACAUAUAAACAUAUGAUUAUACUUAAACAUCAUUUAACAAGUAUUACAAACAUCUUCUUAUGCCUUAUAAGGCAUACUUCCAUAUAUAUCACAUAACUGCAUACAAAAAUGCAUCAGGAGGAGACUUCACAAAACUGGCCCAACUUGACAGAACUGCUAAAAGCUAGACUUCGCAUACAACCAACGGAUGCACUACUAUUUACAAACAUAAAAAGAAAAAUUUUGGAGAGGGGUGAGCCUCCAGCUCAGUAAAUAAAUAAUCAACAUAAUCUAUAUCACAUACACUUAAUACAAUUUCCACCCAAUCACAUAACUUUCCAUGAUAUUCAUAGUUUAGGUAUAAAGUCAUACCAUUCUACUCAAUUCAUUACAACCAUCAUAGAAGAAAUACAAUUCAACAAUUAUGGUUAGUUCUCACGGCUUGUGGAUCCCCUUUAAUGUGCUGUUCUGCCUCAUCCUCACAUAUCACACACGUAAGCUGCUCCGCCUCAUCUCACAUUAUACACUUUUAUAGCCUCUCUAGGCUUUAGCCUCCCAAGGCUUUAUAUAUAUAUAUUUUUUUUUCACAGGGGAAUCCACCAUUCACAUGCACAUAUGCACUUAACAUCACAAUUCAAUCAUUUCACUUAUAUCAUAUUUCAGCAAUAAUAUUGUUCCACUCAACACCAAUCAUUUUCAUCUCAGUCAUUCAAACAUAAACAAUAUUAAGCAAACGCAACCAUUUGCGGAACAUUUGAUUAAAUAUAUGAACAUAGCAAAUAUUAACUAUUUACUUACUCAAAAUAUACUUAUUCCUUUAGCAUAUAAGAACCUCCUUUCUCCACAACUUCCUUUCCAGGCCUUUGAGUACCUGUCAACACAUUCAUCAAUUCACAUUUCAUGCAUAUUACAAAUAUUCAUGUAAAUGCGAGUUCUAAUGCAUUACAAGAUCAUCCCUUCUCUAAUUCAUAGGUCUAACUCUUCCUCUAAGACUCUCAAUUACUGUUUUAAUAUCCUAUAAACAUUUCCCAUCUAGUUAAAUACCAAUUUAACUCAAAUUAACAUCAACAAAUUGCAUAAAACUAAUCUCCAACAUUUCUAUUUUCUAGACAGAAUUUAGUACCAAGGUAUAUUUAUUGCUGGGCAAAAUUGGCUUAAUUAAAAAAUCUCAUAUUAAAUAGACAUAUCCAUUUAUGCGUCUAGUUUCAUCUCCAAGAAGAAUUACUCAAUUCCGACUUCUAUAGAUUUAAUUAUUUUCAAAUUACUGAGCAAGGGUCAUACAGCUAGUUGUACCCGAGCAGUAAUCUGUUUGCUCAAUUUAAGCAACCAAAACGGCAAAAAUAGCAAAAUCACAAAACUACAAAAUUAUAGAGGACUCUUUAAAAUUUCCAUAGACACCAAUUAAGCUUAAUUUGGACUUAUAUAACCCAUGUUAUGCCUAAAAUACAGAACAUCAAGGUUGCUGGAAUUUUGACAGUUUUCUAUCUUAACAUACUUAAACUUAAAUCAAGCUUAAUCUUUAUGCAAUCAUUCAAUACUCUACUAAUUCAUGAUAAUCAGACCUUUAAUUAAUCAAUGAGAGCAUCAAAUGAAGUUUUUCUAAUUUGUAAUCAAGAACCCUAAUGAAAAAUUAAUAACACUCAAGUAACAACUUACCAAUUUCAGCUUUUGGGUUGCUAAUAUGCUUAAAUCCUUUAGCUUUAGCUUGGCUCAUUCAAUAGUUAGCAAAAUCCUAUCUUAAUCUUAAGUUUUUCUAGGUAUUCCACUCCUCUCUCUUAUUCCAAAUUUUGUGUUUUUGGCCAUGUACGAAUUUUAGAGAAAUGAAGAGGUAAAAUGAGCUUGCUCAUGGUUCCAAUUUCCAAUAUUCCUCUCUUAAUGCCACCACCUACUAAACUAUUUUUAUCACCCUAAAUUAAUUCUUACUAACCAUAUAUAGGUACUAACUUUUAAUUGUAUCUUUUAAGUCCAAUCUAUUUACCCAACCUUCAACUAUUGGUUCAAUUAAGUCUUAAGGCUUAAUACACAUAACCCAAGUACUUAAUCAACUUAUCUAAAUUAAUAAUCUAAUAUCAUGCUUCUUAUUCUCUACUUAUAAUUAAUAUAUAUCUGUUCUCAUAAAAUAAAAAUAUCAUUGUUAUACCAUCAUAUGCCCAAUGAUUAAAUGUAAAUGCACAUAACAUGGAUGAUGAGAAAAUGCAGGCGUUACAUGUCAUAAUGCACAAGUUGGGUCUGUUGUUUUGCUGCUGGAUUUUGAACAAGAUGAGCAACUCUAUCUUGCUGGUAGUGGAUUCCUCAUGUAAAUGUAGCUUGUGAAAACCCUGUAAACAUAAUAGAUCCUUCCCAUAUUUUUUGGAGAAAAAGAUUCUUAUGAUGACCUAGAGAUGUUUGGAGCAAAAAUGCUUGAGAUGUGUUCAACCUUGAGGAUUCCGAACAUAUUGAUGGUUAUAAAUAAUCAUUAAAAGUAUAUUUAACUUUUUACCUUUGAGUGUUCUCUUAAAAGUUUCAGAUACAUUCUCCUCAAGUUACAAGGUAAAGUAGGGUAGUGUCCAGCCCGUGAAUAAUUCUUUCCAUCCAUGAAGAAUGGUCAUUCACGCCCGUGACUCACAUUUUCCACCCAUGAAGGUGGUAAAUUGAUGCAAAAAGGGUUGAUUCAACUAAAGAUUCUUUUGAUCUUCAAGGUCCAUUGACAAUAUUUAAAACCAAGAGGAUGCAAGAAGCUUUGCUAAGCUUAUGGAAGGCAUAUGGACCAAUCAAAAUCAAACCAAAGGCCUUAGAAGUCAAGUUUUCAAUGUAUUCAAAAAGUAAAGGAAGCAUAGGCAUGCUUCAUUCAAGAGAAGGAAGCAUGGGAUGCAAUAUGGUUGUGUUUAAAGUCGUGUCUCCUACUAGCCUUCAAAUCAGAAGGAAGUGUGGGAUGCAACAUGGGCAUGCUUAAAGCCGUGUCUCCUACUAGUCUUCAAAUCAAAAGAAAGCGUGGGAUGCAACAUGGCCGUGCUUAAAAGCCGUGUCUCCUACUAGUCUUUAAAUAAGAAGGAAGCGUGGAAGGCAACAUGGCCGUGCUUAAAGCCGUGUCUCCUACUAGUUUUCAAAUCAAAAGGAAAAUAUGGACGUGCUUAAAGCCGUAUCUCCUACUAGUUUUCAAAUCAAAAGGAAGCAUGGGAUGCAACAUGGUCGUGCUUAAAGUCUUGUCCCUAUUACAUUGCUUUGCUCAAGAUUUAAUAAUAGUGUAUUAGUCUAUAUAAGACUAAUACACAUUUUAUUAUGUGUUAUUAGGUAUAAUUUAGUUUAUUUUUAAGUUUUGACCAAGUUUUUCCUUUUGUAACUUAUAUUUAAGUGUGAGAGUUAUUAUUUAGGAGUUACAAAUAUGAAAAUUAAGUCUCUAACAACUAUAUUUUUUAUUUUUGUGUUAGUGAGGAGUUAUGUGAGGUAUUUAGACAUGUCUAAGGUUUCUUUAGGUCCAGCUUUAGCUAUAAAUACCAUGCUAAGCUCCAUUUAUAAUCAACUUCUGAUGAUUGAUCAAGUACAUUACACUUGUGAGUAUUUUUGUUUAAGUUCUCGUAUGAAAUUUGAACUUAUCAAACUUCUUUUAGUUUGUGGUAUUCUCUAUCUAAAAAACUUAUUUUUGAUUCUUUACUUAUCAAAUCUUUUUGGUUUAUGGUUUUGGGAUUGGAUUCAAGUGCUAAUUUCAUUGUAAAUUAAUAACCAUUGAAAUUAGUUUCAUAAACUUCUUUUGAGGGAUCCUUGGGAUUUUGAAAUCAUCUUGAUUGGAGGGUGUUUUCUUGCAUUCUAUAUGUAUCAUAACUUGUUAGUUAUUAGGGUGUAUGGUUGCUAAAGAGGUGAUUUCCUAUCAUUUGGUAUAAAAGCUUGCUUCAAUUGAGGUUUGCUUAUCCUUUGUGUUUAUGUGUUUUGUUUUCUAAUUCUUCAUCUUCUUCUUAUUCUUUUUUAUUGUGCGCCAUAAUUCUUUGUGUUUCAAAGUUAUCCCUUCUUUGUGUUUAAGAAAAAAUUAGAAAUUAAAAAAAAAAAUCCAUAAUAGCAAAAAGUGAGGAAACAAAGUUCUUUUUAUUUUAGAAUUAUUUUAAGAUUAAAAGGGCCUAAAAUUCGGCACUUGAUUAUUGUUCUUUGUGUUAACUAGUUUUAAAUUGGCCUACCUAACAUUUCAAUCUAGACUGACUCUAUUUUAUUCAAUUGAAUUGCUUUCAUCUAAAAUUGGAUUGUUUAAAAGUACUUAUUUCAUCUAAGAAUUUAAAGCAAAAGCAAGAGAGGUAAAAGACAAAGAGUGGUGAGACUAGCAUCGUGAAAAGACAAUAGAGUGUAAACACUUGAGAGCAUUUUAUUUGUGUUUUAUUUAUUUAUUUUCAUUUUCCAAUAAGUCUAAAGACAAGGAAACAAGCUCUUCUUCAAAUGAUCCUAUAACAAUACCCAUGCAACAAUAAUUUGAAUGAAUGUCCAAAAUGAUGGGCGAAGUUAAAGACCAUUUGGAGAAACAUGAUGACACAAUUACAAAGUUGAGAGAUGAACCAAGAAGAGAAAGACAACUAACUCUUGACAAUGAAGAGUAUGAUGAAGAUACAAAUUUUGAUCAAAUUACCAUUAUUGGUGAUGCUCCACCUAGAAGGAAAAACAUGAGAGCAAGGUUUGAUCAAAUGGAACACCAUAUAGGCAACAUCAAAAUUAAGAUUCCUUCCUUUCAAGGAAAGAAUGACCCCAAUGCCUAUAUGGAAUGGGAAAGAAAAGUGGAGAUGAUCUUCGAAUAUCACAACUAUUCUGAAGAAAAGAAGGUAAAACUUGUUGUGGAAUUUUGUGAUUAUGCACUUGUUUGGUGGGAUCAAUUAUGUAGGAAAAGAAGGAGGAUUGGUGAUAGACUCGUUAAUACAUAGGUAGAUAUAAAAUGCAUUAUGAAGAAGCAAUUUGUCCCUAGUCACUAUUAUAGGGAGCUGUACCAGAAACUAUAAACCUUGACACAAGGUCCCAAGAGUAUAGAGGAGUAUCAUAAAAAGAUGGAAGUAGCCAUGAUAACAGCUAAUGUGUAGAAGGAUGGAGAAGCAACCAUGGCAAGGUUCUUGAAUGGCUUGAACAAGAACAUAGCCGACCUAGUGGAGUUGCAACCUUUUAUGGAGAUUGAGGAUAUGGUGAAUGUGGCAAUGAAGAUAAGAGACAACUCAAACACAAGAGUACAAGUAUGAUUCUAAACCUUAUUCGGGUUCCAUUCUUCUUCUUGGAAACUGAAUUGGAGUAAAAAGGAUGAUAAAUCUAUUGUUAAGCCUAAAAUUGAUGAUUAUGAAGCUAAAAUAGAUAUGGGCAACACGGGUAAAGGUGAAAAUCAAAUUAGAGGGUUAAAAUGUUUCAAGUGCUUAGGACUUGAACAUUAUGCACGUGAUUGCCCUAAUAAAAGAGUUAUAAUUAUUAGAGAUGGGGUAGUCGAAAGUGAAAGUAAAAGUGAGGAUGAGUAUGCCACCUUUAGAGGAUUUUGGUAUUGAAUAUGCUAAAGGGGAUGUUGUAGUGGUACAAUGCACACUUAAUUUGCAAAUUAAAAUGAUGAACAUGGGGAGCAAUGUGAAAUUUUGUUUCAUACUUAUUGUUUGAUUGCUAAUAGGUUGUGUAACAUGAUUGUAGAUAGUAGUAGUUGUACUAAUGUAGCUAGUAUUUACUUGUUAAAAAUUGAAUUUACCUACUAUUAAGCAUCCAAAGCCUUAUAAAUUGUAAUGGUUGAAUGAUAAUGGAGUUAUGAAGAUUAAUAAGCAAGUAUUAAUUUCUUUUUCAAUUAGUAGAUAUAAGGAUGAGGUAUUAUAUGAUGUGGUUCCCAUAUAUGUCGGUCAUGCUUUGUUGAAAAGACCUUGGCAAUAUGAUAGACAUGUUUUAUGUGAUGAUUUUAAGAAUAGGUACUAUUUAACCAUUAAUGAACAAAAGUUUAAUCUUGGAUCAUUACCUCUCAAAACCAUUUAUAAUGACUAAAUGAGGAUAAAAUAAUAAUAUGAUAAGUUUGAAUCUUCAAAUGGGAAAACUUUGGGUAGGGAGCAAGAGAGAGACAAAUUCGAAAAAGGUGAGUUGAGUGGUAAAAGUGAAUGCAAUGGGAAACACAAGGUGAGAGAAAACAAAGGAGAAAAGAGUGAAAGAAAAAUGAGUAUAUAUGCAAAGCCAAUGAUGUGAGGAAAAUACUAACCUUGAGGCACAAGUGCUUGUAGUCAUGUACAAGGAUGUUUUGAUUAUGACUAAUGAUCUUAACCAAGAUAUGCCUAGUGUUGUUGUUGAGCUUUUACAGGAAUAUGGAGGCCUUUUUCCCGAUGAUGUGCCUAAAGGAUUACCACCCAUUCAUGAUAUUGAGCACUAAAUUGACUUUAUUCCGGGCGUAAGUAUUUCAAAUAGGCCAGCCUAGAGAUGCAACCCCAGUGAGACAAAAAAAAUCCAAAGUCAAGUGAGUCAGCUUGUGGAUAAGGGGUAUGCGAGAGAAAGCAUGAGUCCAUGUGCGUUUCCUGUGAUUCUAGUGCCUAAGAAAGAUAAAACUUAGAGGAUGUGUGUUGAUUGACGUGUCAUCAACAAGAUAAUGGUAAAGUAUUGCCAUCCUAUACCUAGGCUAGAUGAUGUAUUGGGUGAUUUAUAUGGUUCUUGUGUGUUUUUUAAGAUUGAUCUUAAAUCUGGAUAUCAUCAAAUUAGAAUGCAUGAGGGUGAUGAAUGGAAAAUCGCUUUUAAAACAUAACAAUGUUUAUAUGAGUGGUUAGUAAUGCCAUUUGCCUUAACUAAUGCACCAAACACUUUUAUGAGAUUAAUGAAUCAUGUUUUGUAUACUUCCAUUGGAAAGUUUGUGGUGUUUUACUUUGAUGAUAUUCUUGUUUAUAGCCAAUCUUUAGAUGAGCAUGUAACAUUUAAAGCCUAUUUUUUAUGUGUUAAAAUAAGAGACCUUGUAUGCUAAUCUUAAGAAGUGCACUUUUCCACUAAUGGAAUUACUUUUUUUUGGAUAUAUUGUUAAUGACAAAGGAAUUCAUGUUGUUCUAGAAAAAGUCAAAGUAAUUAGGGAGUGGCCGAAACCUACUAGUGUGCAUGAUGUUAGGAGUUUUCAUGGUCUUGCUAGCUUUUAUAGGAGAUUUAUAUAAGGAUUUUUCUACAAUUGUUGCACCUUUAACUUAAUGCAUUAAAAAGAAUGUGGAUUUCAAGUGGGAAAAAGAAUAAGAUCUUGCCUUUGACUUGUUAAAAGACAAAUUAAGUUCGGCACCUUUACUUUCUUUGCCUAAUUUUGCUAAAACCUUUGAGGUUGAGUGCGAUGCAAGUGGAAUAGCCAUUAGAGGAGUCCUAAUGCAAGAAGGAAGACCAAUUGCAUUCUUUAUUGAGAAGCUUAGUGGAGCUAGUCUAAACUAUCCAACAUAUGACAAUGAGUUUUAUAUGUUGGUAAGAGUAUUAGAACAUUGGCAACAUUAUUUUUAAUAUAAGGAAUUUGUGAUCCACACUGACCAUGAGUCCUUGAAAUAUUUCAAAGGACAAGGGAAGCUUAGAAGAAGACAUGCUAAAUAGGUGGAGUUCAUAGAGUCAUUUCCUUAAAUCAUCAAGUAUAAGCAUGGUAAGGAGAAUAAAGUAGUUGAUGCUUUGUUAAAAAGGUAUGCAUUAAUUUAUACUCUUGAUUCAAAGUUGUUAGGUUUUGAAUUUAUCAAAAACUUAUAUAUUUCUAACGUUAAUUUUGCAAAUGUGUACGGGACAUGUGAAAAGGGAGGUUUUGACAAUUUUUAUAGGCUAGAUGGCUUUCUUUUUAAAGAAAAUAAGUUAUGUGUGUCUCAAUCUUCUUUGAGAGAGUUGCUUAUGAGGGAGGCCUAUGGUGGGGAUUUAAUGAGGCAUUUUGGUGUGAGUAAGAUAUUAGAUGUGUUGAGCGAGCAUUUCUUUUGGCCACACAUGAGAAAAGAUAUUGAAAAAGUGUGUGAGAGAUGCAUUACAUGUAAACAAUCUAAAUCAAGAGUGAUGCAUCAUGGGUUGUAUACACCUCUUUCCAUUCCUAAUAAACUUUGGGUAUACAUUUUUAUGGAUUUUGUGUUAGGAUUGCCUAUGUCAAAAGGGGAGAAAGAUUAUAUCUUUGUUGUUGUUGACAUGUUUAGCAAAAUGGCUCAUUUCAUUCCUUGUCACAAGACGGAUGAUGCAACACAUGUUAUGGGGCUAUUCUUCAAGGAUAUUGUGAGACUACAUGGGAUUCCAAAGACAAAAGUAAGUGAUAUAGAUUUCAAGUUUCUUAGCCACUUUUGGAAGAUACUUUGGAGCAAGUUGGGAACAAAGCUUCUAUUCUCAACAACUUCUCAUUUACAAAUGGAUGGAUAAACAUAGGUGGUUAAUAUGACUCUGUUACAAUUAUUGAGAGCUAUAAUUCAAAGGAACUUGAAGAAUUAGGAAGAAUGCUUGCAAUAUGUGGAGUUUGCCUACAAUAGAAGUGUACAUGGCACAACAAAUUAAACACCAUCUGACUCAUAUGGAUUUGAUGCCAUUACCAAUUGAGAAAGCCAACUUGGAAGGUAACUAAAAUGAUGAUUUUAUUAAGAGCUUACAUGAAAAAUUGAAAGUCCAAAUAGAAAAGAAGACUCUUCAAUAUGAAAGGCAACACAACAAGGAAGGAAGAAAGUGGUAUUUGAAUCGGGUGAUUGGAUUUAGGUCCACUUGAGGAAGGAGAAACUUUUAAGCCAAUGAAAAUCAAAGCUAAUAGCAAAAGGAGAUUGAUAAUUUCAAGUUCUUGAGAAAAUCAAUGAUAAUGCCUACAAGCUUGAUAUACCAAGUGAGUAUGGUAAUAUAAGUGCAACUUUCAAUAUAGCUGAUAUUUCUUUCCUUGAUAUAGGUGAGGAAGAUGACAAUGAGCUUGAUUCGAGGAUGAAUCCUUUCGAUGAGAAAGGGAAUGAUGCAAAAAGGGUUGAUUCAACUAAUAAUUCUUUUGAUCUUCAAGGUCCAUUGACAAGAUCUAAGACUAAGAGGAUGCAAGAAGCUUUGUUAAGCUUCAUGGAGGGCAUAUGGACCAAUCAAAACCAAACCAAAUACCUUGGAAGUCAAGUUUUCAAUGUAUUCAAAAAGGAAUAAGCAUGGGAUAAAGCAUAGACGUGCUUCAAGCCGUGUCAUCUACUGCCCUUUCAAGAGAAGGAACCAUGGGAUACAACAUGGCCGUGCUUAAAGCCGUAUCUUCUACUGGUCUCCAACUCAGAAGGAAGUGUAGGAUACAACAUGGCCGUGCUUAAAGUCGUGUCUUCUACUGGUCUCCAAAUCAGAAGAAGUGUGGGAUAUAACAUGGUCAUGCUUAAAGUCGUGUCUUCUACUGGUCCUCAAAUCUGAAGAAAGCAUGGGAUGUAACAUGACCGUGUUUAAAGUCGUGUCUCCUAUUGGUCUUCAAAUCAUAAGGAAGCGUAGGAUGUAACAUGAUCGUGUUUAAAGUCGUGUCUCCUAUUGGUCUUCAAAUCAUAAGGAAGCGUAGGAUGUAACAUGACCGUGUUUAAAGCCGUAUCCCUAUACAUUGCUUUGCUCAAGAUUCAAUAAUAGUGGAUUAGUCUAUAUAAAACUAGUACACAUUUUAUUAUGUUUUAUUAGGUAUUAUUUAGUUUAUUUUUAAAUUUUGACCAAGUUUUUCCUUUUGUAAUUUAUGUUUAAGUUUGAGAGUUAUUAUUUAGAGUCUCCAACGGCUAUAUUUUUUAUUUUGUGUUAGUGAGGAGUUAUGUGAGGUGUUUAGACAUGUUUAAGGUUUCUUUAGGUCUAGCUUUAGCUAUAAUUACCAAGCUAAGCUCUAUUUAUAAUCAACUGUUGAUGAUUGAUAUAAUACAUUACACUUGUGAAUGGCUUUGGGUAAGUUCUUGUAUGAAAUUUGAACUUAUCAAACUUCUUUUAGUUUGUGGCAUUCUUUAACUAAAAAUCUUGUUUUUGAUUCUUUACUUAUCAAAUCUUUCUGGUUUGUGGCAUUAGGAUUGGAUUCAAGUGCUAAUUUCAUUGUUAAUCAAUAACGAUUAAAAUUAGUUUCAUAAACUUCUUUUAAGGGAUCCUUGGAUUUUUGAAUCAUCUUGAUUGGAGGGUGUUUUCUUGUAUUCUAUAUAUAUCAUAACUUGUUAGUUAUUGAGGUGUAUGGUUGCUAAGGAUGUGAUUUCCUAUUAUAAAUCAAAGAAAAAUAGAAAAGGGAUAGAAGACCUAAUGGUUUCCAGUCCCAGUCAUGAACUUUAGCCUUCAUGCCUAUGACAUAGGCCUCACUCCCGUGAAGUAUCCAUCCUUUAGCUUUUGGAGAAAAAGGACGGAAGACUUCACGCUUUUAGAUUCACCUAACACAGUCUUAAGAAAAUAUGCAUCAAACCCUAGUAGCCCUCUACACCCAGCAUGGAAACCCCUCCUCAAUACACUGAACCCAAUGUAGAAUCUUUGAAACACAAGUUUCCUAACUGUUUCAUCAACUUCACACUUCAACUCAAAUCUGCCAUCUGUGUCCAUUUAUUGAGCUCAACUGCAUAUGACCUGAGUUUGGCAUAAUGCUCAUCAAAUGUGCUCUCAAUUUUUUUAGAGCUUUCCAUUUCGCUCUAUAACAAGUCAUUAAACUAACAUUAACAUCAUAUGUCAACCGUACAUCCUCUUUCAUUAGUUGUGCAAAAAAACUUGGAUUCCUUUUGAACACACCAAUAUAUUCCUUGCGAGCCACUCAGAUGUUGCCUGUCCGUUUGUUGGUUGUCUUGGACAAUUAUGCUGAGGCACACAUCUUGUAGUUUGCUGGCAUAAAGUCUGUAAUUGAAACCAAGCACACAUCUGGCAUCAACCUACAAAUAACAUCAUCAGUAAAAUCAUAGCAUUCAUAAAUUUAUACUUGAAGAGCAUAUUGAAAAUCAAGAAGCCUAUACAAAUAGCAUUCUUACAGCCACUGUAACUCUCCUUUUAAUAAUUUCAAAAAUAGUAUAAGCAAAAUUUACUUUUAUUGUAUUAGAAAAGUAAUGCUAGAAUUUAGUAAUAAUAUUCCAAAGCUAUAAACAAAAUAAAAACACGCUUAAAGAAUAGAAAAUAAACCAAACAAAAUUUUAAAUUAAUUCGGUUUAAAAAAAUAAAAAUUUAAUAGAGGUCAAAUAUAAUCUAAACAAAAACUUAAACCUAAUAAAAGGACCAAAAAUGAAAACCAAAACAAAUCCAACUAAAACUAAAUAAAUCAAACGUAAAUUGUAAAUAAACAAAUAUAUAACUUCACAACAAAUUUCUUUUUACUUUCAAAUGGCUCUUCCAUUAUAAUUUUUCUCCUCUUACCUACAUUAUAAAAUUUAAAAUUUCUUUAGAAGAUAGAGAACCGAUUUUUUUAUUACCAGCAAUUGCUAAUUUCUCAAUAGAUUUCAUUAAUUUUUUAAGGAUUUGACUUUAAGAAGCUAGGUAAAAAAGAAAGAGAUCGAGUAUCACCAAAGAUUAUAUAAAAAUAACAAAAUAGAAAAAGAUAAUUUAAUAAAAAACAGUAAAAAUAUGGAGAAUAUAAAUCACAAAAUAACACAAGCUAAUGAAAAUUUGGAAAAAGAAAACGACAUAAAAAAGAGAAACUGAAAAAAGCAGCAUAAAAAAACCAAUAAAAAAGUAAAUAUAUCAAAGAAAAGUGUAAAAGAGUAAAAAAAAUAGAAAUGAAAAAAAUAUUUGUAUAAUAAAAAAACAGAGUAUCCAAAGUAAUUUCCACAGUAAUCAUAUACACCUAAUUAAGGACAUAGAUAGGAAUGACAAUGGAUAUGGUAUCCGCCCAUUCAAAGAUAUUUGACCAGAACUUGAUUAAAGUAGGCGUACCUAAACCCAUCCCAAAUCCAUUUAAAAAAUUGUCUUUGUUACCUGAACUUUUUCCAAACUCGAAAUAAAAAUAUUUGUAUACUAGAACCGAUUGAAACCGUUUAAACUAAAUAAUGGAUAUCCUAACUAUUUAUAUAAGUAUUUUGAUAAAUAAAUGGGUACUCAUUUACCGAACUCGUUUACUACAAUUNNNNNNNNNNNNNNNNNNNNNNNNNNNNNNNNNNNNNNNNNNNNNNNNNNNNNNNNNNNNNNNNNNNNNNNNNNNNNNNNNNNNNNNNNNNNNNNNNNNNNNNNNNNNNNNNNNNNNNNNNNNNNNNNNNNNNNNNNNNNNNNNNNNNNNNNNNNNNNNNNNNNNNNNNNNNNNNNNNNNNNNNNNNNNNNNNNNNNNNNNNNNNNNNNNNNNNNNNNNNNNNNNNNNNNNNNNNNNNNNNNNNNNNNNNNNNNNNNNNNNNNNNNNNNNNNNNNNNNNNNNNNNNNNNNNNNNNNNNNNNNNNNNNNNNNNNNNNNNNNNNNNNNNNNNNNNNNNNNNNNNNNNNNNNNNNNNNNNNNNNNNNNNNNNNNNNNNNNNNNNNNNNNNNNNNNNNNNNNNNNNNNNNNNNNNNNNNNNNNNNNNNNNNNNNNNNNNNNNNNNNUUUUUGGUCCUCGUAUACAACCAUAUAUUUUUUGGAAAAUUACACUUUUCCUCUCUACUUUUCUUUUAUAUGCUCGAAUUUUUUUUACUUUUUGUUCUUUUCUUUACUCUUUUUAGCUUCUUCUGUUUUCUUUUUUAUCUCUAACCAUUUUUGUGCAUUAAACCCACUUCUGUUCCACAUUUUUCUUCUUUGAUACUCUCUUGGUGCACGAUUUUUUGACGGUUUUCUUCUGUUUUCUUUGUUUUUAUCUUUCAACUUCUUUCUAACUUCCCAUUAUUCCUUUCCUUUAGGCGAUUUAGUUUUUCAUUGAAGUUGUUUGUAAGUUUCAUUUUUAUGGUUUUCUUGUAUUGUUCUGGUUAAUACUCGACUUUCUUCUUCUCAGAAGAGAAAUUUUCAUUCUAAUUCUCAAAUUCUUAGAGAUUUAGGCAUUCCUUGUUAUAGUAGUAAAAGAUUUAGGUGUAAUAGGUAAAAAAGAAGGAGGUUAGGUCUACAAAAAGGGUCUUGAGUCUUUAAAAAAGAAAUUAGAAAAUCGAGAAUAUGACAUUAAAAAGAUGAAAGAUAUUGUUGAUUGUUCUUCGAAGAAGAUUGUUGAUGAUUCUCCUUAAAAAAGAAUCUUGAUGUUAAAGCUUCAAAGAAGAAUGUUAAUUUUAAAGCUUCAAAAAAAUAAAAAUCAAAUAUCGAUGGUGUAGGGAAAGCUACCAUCGAUGGUAAGAGAGCCAAGAUUGAGAUCAGAGAGACGAGAUUCGAGGUUUGUUUUCUUGUGUAUUUUUAUUUAUUUCUUUGUUUUAUUUUAAAUUUUUCUGCCCUUUACCUUUUGAGAAUGACAGAAACGUUUCUUUUUCAUUUAUGAUGUUAGACACUUGCUAGAGAAGUUCAUACCGGAGUUUCCAUGUCUUUUGUAAUUAUUAAGUAAUAUCCAAGCAUAUAAUUGUUAUUUCUAAACUUGGUUUAGUUUUAAGUAUAAUUAUUAUGCUUAUUUAAUGCUAAUCAAUGGCUCAAGAAAAAUAUUUACGAUGAAAAAAUGUAAAGAUACAAAAAAAAAAUAUGAAAUAUGAAUAAAUAAGACAAUGUACAGUCUGAGAUUUCAUUAGUUUGCAAAAGGACAAUGAUAUUAUAGUCAUUGAAUCAUGCUCUAUACUUAGUACUGUAUGUUGUUUUAUUAUUUUUUGUUAUUAUUGUAAAUUUUAUUGUUUAUACACUUACAAAAUAACUUUGUAUGCUCAUAACAAACUUAUUACUUUGUAGUUAUGGCAAUAUAAAAUAAAAACUGAAGAUUAUUUUUUUUUGGGAAGAUUGCCAAUCAUUUGGAUAAUGAGAAGAUAAAUUUUAUUAAAAGGACAUUAUCGGCUGACCAAUUAGAACUUUUUAAGAAUAGUUAUUUUGAAUAUUUCUAGAUAUUCCUAAAUUUAAAAUUCAGUUACAGUUAAUUUCUUCAUUGCUUUUUAAGGAGGCUAAUUAGCCUCACGAUGAUAAAAUAUGGAUGGAUAUUGGUGGAGUUAGGUGGAGGUUUGGAAUUGAAGAGUUUGCUUUGAUGUCUAGUUUAAAUAGUAAAGGUGUAUAAAAUAAGAUGGAUUAUGCUAGUGAGCAUAAUCAGUUGUUAGAGAAGUACUUCCCUAGUGUUAAGAAAGUUAAUAAGAAAGAUGUUGUCAAGUUGGCUGUUUUAUAUUUCAUUCACCAUUUUUUCUUUAGUUCACCUUACAAUAAAUCUAUUGAUAACGAAUACUUCAAUUUAGUUGGCAAUGGUGAUUAUAAUAACUAUACUUGGGGGAGGACUGUUUUUUAUGUUAUUAUUGAUUUCUUAAAAAGGCAGGUUGUUGGUAAGGAAAAGAAGGUGAAAGAUGGGGAUGAUUAGGAGAGACACCAUAGUUUGUUAUAUAGGCUGAUUGGUUUUCCUCUAGCUUUUCAGAUUUAGUUUUAUGAAUGUUGUCCAUAUGUUGCUAGAAAGAUUAGUAUUUUAUCCGAUGAAAAGAUUUUUCGUAUUUUAAAUUGGAGCUCUAUCAAGUCUUUUGAUUUUAAAGCUCUUCAGAGGACUAUAUUUUGAGUUUCAAAUUCAAAGGUUAUUAUUUCUUUCGUUUGUAAUUUUUAUUAUGUUUUUACUUUGAGUUGAUUCUUAGUUGAUUCUUUUUGACAGUUGAGGCUAAAGAACAUAACUCAUUGUGCUAAAGCGAAAAAAAUUUGAAACUGAAUGACUUUUUUAUAAGGAAAAAUAGAUGGCUAUUGAAGAAGAAAAGGAAGAUACUGAUGAUGAUUUUGAAAAAUAUUUAUAUCGUUCUUCUAAAUCUAGUGAACCAUCUACUUCAAAGUAACAAAAAGAUAACAAUUCUUUUGUUAAAUUUGAGAAGAAGUUGGAUGUUAUUGUGUCUAAGCAGAAGAAGUUAAGUAACAAGUAGAAGAAUAUAGUUGAUAAUAUUAACUCAUUGAAGAGUUGGUUAGAAAGACAACUUGUCUUUGUUUUACUUGAAUUUUCUAAACUUAAGACUAGAAUUUCAGCUCGUUAUCAUGGUGUUGGUUCUAAAAUUGGUGGUACAAAUGUUAUUCUGGUAUGUUAUUCUAUUUGUUUUAUGUCUUUUUUAUAAUUAUUGUAUACCUUUUAUAUAGUUAGUAUAUACUUAGUUUAAACUUUAUAAAUGCUUAUUUUUUUAUUUUUUCUUUUCAGUCCAAUAAAACUAAAAGUGAGAAAAAAAUGACAGUGAAGGAAUUAAGAAGAAAAACUUUUAUAGUGCUGAUGAUAAAAAUAAUGACAAGGUAUAAUUUAUUUUGUAGUAUUUUUAUUUAUAUAUUUAAUUUAUUUUAUAAUUUUAGAUUUUAUGUAUCUUAUAAUAAGGUUAAUGAAAAGAAAGAAGAUUUUGAUAAGAAGAAUAAGGAAGAUGAUGGUAGUAAUUCUUCUACUAAUGAUCUUGGAGAUGGUAAUGAUGAUGGAGUGAAUGAUGAUACAAAGAUAUUUUCUAAGGAUGAUAGUGGCGGAGAAGAGAAUGUGGCUGAUCCUGAAGAUAAAAAUGAUAAAGUUUGUUGACUGUUUUUCUUAAAUUUAUUAACUCUGAAAUUAUUAUUUAUUUUUAAAUUUUAAAAAUUUUAGGAUGGUGUAAAUGCAAUAAAUAUUGGUGAUUUGGUGAAAAAUGUUGUGAAUUAUAGUAGUUCUUUGAAAAUAUUGAUCGAUGUGCUUGAAGUAACAGUUGUUUCUGCUAUUAAAAGUAUUCAUGAAAUUAAAACUCAGGUAUUUUCUAUUUUGAUUUUUAUUUUAUUUUGAUUUUAGGUAUAUUGUUAGUUCUUUUUUACAUUAUUCUGAUUUUGUUUUUUGUUCUAUUUCUUUAUUAUUUAAGAUUUUUCAUAUUAGUUCAUUGAUAUUGUGCCUUUUACUAGUGCUCCUGUUGGUCCUUCAUUUUUAUUGUCUCUUGAAAUUGAAAGGAGCAUUACAUCCGAUUUAUUCUGCAGAUUUCCUUUUUUAAAUAAGUUUUGUUCAUCUAGGAUGGAUCAUCGGUCCCAAAGAAUGUAAAGAGUAUUUUGAAGCUUAGAAUCUCACCGUUAGAUGAUUUUUCGGGAUCUUUACCCGAUUCAGACAAACUAAAAACAUAUUUAUAGUGGAUUAAUAAGGUUUUGAGGAAGAGAAACAAGUAAUAUAUUUUUUAUUAUUUACUUUAUUUAUUUAUUUUUGUAUUUCUUUAUAUAUAUAUAUAUAUAUAUAUAUAUAUAUAUAUAUUAUUAAAUAUUAAUUCUUCUUUUUUUGUAAUUCUUAGGAACAAGAUGUAUUUACUUUUGGAUAAUAUCAUCUCACCUCCUCUAAAAGCUAGGUGUUGCUCAUGUUGAGCGCAAAACAUGGUUUUAUAGUUUGCAACUCUUGGGCAUUAAUGCAUGCUUAUAUNNNNNNNNNNNNNNNNNNNNNNNNNNNNNNNNNNNNNNNNNNNNNNNNNNNNNNNNNNNNNNNNNNNNNNNNNNNNNNNNNNNNNNNNNNNNNNNNNNNNNNNNNNNNNNNNNNNNNNNNNNNNNNNNNNNNNNNNNNNNNNNNNNNNNNNNNNNNNNNNNNNNNNNNNNNNNNNNNNNNNNNNNNNNNNNNNNNNNNNNNNNNNNNNNNNNNNNNNNNNNNNNNNNNNNNNNNNNNNNNNNNNNNNNNNNNNNNNNNNNNNNNNNNNNNNNNNNNNNNNNNNNNNNNNNNNNNNNNNNNNNNNNNNNNNNNNNNNNNNNNNNNNNNNNNNNNNNNNNNNNNNNNNNNNNNNNNNNNNNNNNNNNNNNNNNNNNNUUAUGCAUGCUUAUAUCUUCACUUUUAUCUUUUCUUUUAUUAUUGCAACAAAUUGAUGUUAUUUUUUAUUAUUUUAGAAAAAAAGAAAAAUAUUCUACCAGCUCAAUAGUAAGGUUUACAACAACUAAUUUUCUAUUUGAUAUUCGAAUCAAGUUGUUGCAUUUAGAAUUUUUGAGAAAAAGAGAUUUGUUAGUUGUUUCUUUGAAUAAUUUGUUGGUGGAGUAUAUAUUGGGUUAUAGCUUGCUUUGUAACACAACAUGGGUUGAUGUUAACCAUGUUCUGUUUCCUGUUCACAUCUCUACUCUUGAUCAUUAGAUUUUACUUUGUUUGUCCUUUAAUGAUAUAACAUUGUUUCUAUAUAACUCCAUGUGUGGUGCGAAGAAUGAUGCUCUUACAAGAAGUGAAGUCCAAGCAUAUAAUUUUCUAUUGCCAUAUUUUUUGUAUAUGCUUGACUUUUAUUCUAUGCACAAGGAUAUCGAUUUUUUUGUUGGAGCUAAUUGUGGAAAGAAGCCUACAAAUACAUGUUAACAUUGUUCCUAACCUUCCGUUUCAAGUGGAUAAGUAAGUUUUUUUUCUUUACAUAUAAUUUUUAUGUUAUUAGACUUUUUUAUUUUUAAUUUGUCCUUUUGUUAUUAUUUUUGUAGUGCUUGUGGAAUCUUUACAUGUUCUUUUGCUGAAUACUUUAUUUGCGAAAAAGAGAUUCCAGAUAAAUUUUUUGAUAUAGCUCAACAUCAAAUGAGACUUGCAGUUUUGUUAUUCUCUUAUACGAAAUCCAAAGAUGUUGAAGGUUUUGAAAGUGAAUCAGAAUCAUGUAGAAAGAUUAAGAAAGUUGAUAGAUUAAAGAAGAUUUGAAGAAGGGAUUUGCAGUAACUUUCUAUAGUGUUUUGUGCAUAUAAUGAACAAGUAUCUCUUUAGUAUUAGUAAUAGGUUUACUAAGAGUAUUGCUUAAUAUGAUGCUAACUAGGUUUUAUUUUAUUUUUGUUAGAUUUUUUGUUAUUUUGAACUUGUUAUUGAUGUUUUUGAUAUAUGCAUAAAUUUUUUUUUAUUUCAGUUUGAUGCUUUAAUUAUUGUUCUUGUUUUAUUUUAGAUUUUUUGAAUAUUUUGUUUAAUAUUCUCAGGAUAUGCUUGGAUUAUAAACUAUGUAAAGCUUAUACUUUUAAGAUUUUUUUUAUUGUUUGCCAAGAUACUUAUUAUAUACUCAUAAUAUAUACAAAAUAUAUUUUAUAUUGUCAUAAUAUAUUUUUUUUUAAUUUUUUAAUUAAUUUUAAAAAAUUCUUUAAGCAUUUAAAAUCAUUUAUUAAUAUUUAAUAAUAUUGAUAUACCAGUUUUAUAAAUUAUAAUUAAUUAAUGAAAUUGUCAUAUAUAUUUAUUCCAUACUCAUAAUAUACUUAAAAGUAUAUUGUAUAUUAUAUAAUGUUAUAUUUUUUUAUCCAUUUUUAUGAUUCAAAUUCUUUUUAUGUAUAUUUUUCUUUAAUUAAGAAAUACUUGUACAAGAUUUUCAUCUUUAAUUUAAUUUUUUCAUAUAUAUAUACUUGUUUUAUACUCAUAAUAUACUCACGAUAUACACUUUACUAUUACAUUCCCUUUAAAAUAUUCAUUCUAUAUUUUUUUUAUUUGUGAAGUAUAUUUUUAUACUAAUUAUUUUUUAUUUAUUAAUUAUAUUUAUCAUAAUAUAUAAAUACUUAUUACUUUAUUAUAUAUUUACUUAGCAAAUAUAUUGAUUUUAUUUGAUUCAAAAAUAUUAAUUAAUAAACUCCUUAUACACUCGUAGUAAACUGUUUACUGUCAGGAAAUAAAAGAAAUCUACUACCUUUAAAUUGAUCUUUAUUGAUGUACUUAAAAUAGUUUUUAUUAACAAUCUUUAAAAAUAUUAUAUUGUUCUUUAAUUUUUAUAUAUGGUUGAUUUCUACUUGUCUUUCUAUUAUAUCGCACUUGUACCUAUGUUCUACAUUAGUACUAAGUAAUUGUUUCAAAAAAAGAGAAAAAGUAUUGUCUACUCUUUAUAUACUCAUAAUAUACUCACAGUAUACUAUUUACUGUUACAUUUCCUUUAUACAUUUUUUCUAUAUUUAUUUUUAUGCAUAUAUGAGUUAUAUUAUUAUAUGAAUUAUUUUUUACAUGUUAAUUAUAUUUAAUCAUAAAAUAUAAAUAAUUAUUAUUUUAAUAUAUAUUGAUUUAGCAGAUAUAAUUAUUUUAUUUAAUGUUCAAAUAGUAGUUGAUACAAUUGAUGUAUAACUUAUAUACUUGGAGUAUAUUGUUUACUGUCAAGAAAUAAAAGAAAUUCACUAUUUUUAAAAUAGUUAUUAGUAUUAUAUUUGAAGGAGUUUUUUUUAAUAAUCUUUGAAAAUAUUCUACUAUUAUGUAAUUUUUAUACAUGGUUUAUUUCUGCAUAUCUUUCUAUUAUGUUCCACUUGUCCGCAUCUCUGCAUUAUUAGUAAGUAAUUAUUUCGAAAAGAAGAAAUAUUAGUAUGUACUUGUUAUAUACUCAUAAUAUAUUCAUAAUAUACACUUUAUUGUUACAUUUUUUUUGUACAUUUCUUCCAUAUUUUUUUUAUUCAUAUAUAGUUUUUAUUUUUAUACUAAUUAUUUUUUACAUACUAAUUAUAUUUAAUCAUAAAAUGUAAACAAUUAUUACUUUAAUGUAUAUUGAUUUAGCAAAUAUAUUCAUUUUAUUUGAUUUAGAAAUAGUACUUGAUACACUUGAUAGACUCCUUAUAUACUAAGAGUAUACUAUUUAUUAUGAAGAAAUAAAAGAGAUCUAUUAUCUAUAAAAUGGACUUUAUUACUAUAUUUAAAGAAGUUUUUUUAACAAUCUCCAAAAAAUUCCACUAUUAUGUAGUUUUUAUACAUGGUUGAUUUCUGCAUAUCUUUCUAUUGUGCUCCACGUGUCUACAUCUCCCGCAUUUGAUUUGAUUCUUUCUUUUCCAUGCUGACUUUGCUAUUCUUUUCUUUGGUCUUCCUGAUUUGACUUUGUUAAGAUUUGAUUUAGCUUGAUUUAUGUAAUUGUGUAUCAGAUCUUCUAUUUAUAGAAAGUCUCUCUAUAUUGUAUGUAAUUGGCCAUUAAUUUAUGUUCUUAUUUUGUUAGUUUUUUUUUGUAAAAAGCUGUCUAUAUAACAGCCUCUGUACUGCUAUACAAAAAAAAAGAGACUUCUUUUCUUCAGAUUUUUUUAUGGUAUCAGAGCAUAUGAUCCUAUUAGCUCUCUAACCCUACUUCUGCAAAUUUUAUGGAUGAUACUGCUAUUGAUAGUGAUAGCAACAGUAACUAUUCAUCAAGAGACACAUCUUCUCAACGCAGUUCAAAAACCUUUAAUCAUAAUAUGUCCACACCAGUUAUUGAUCCCUCCGAUCCUCUUUUUCUUCAUACUUCUGAUAAUCCAGGCAUGACUCUUGUCUCAAAGUUUUAGAUGGAACCAAUUACGUUAUGUGGAAGAGAUCUAUCCUAGUGAGUCUUGGAGCCAAAAACAAACUGGGAUUCAUCAAAGGAACCAUUCAAACACCAGAUGCAGAAGAUCCAAAAUACUCUUUAUGGCAACGUUGCAAUGAUAUGGUUCUCUCCUGGAUCUUGAACUCAUUAAGUCAAGAACUUACAAAUAGUGUACUUCAUGUGGAGACACCUUCAGAAAUUUGGACAGAUCUUCAAGAGCAUUUUUUUCAAGGUGAUUUUUCUCAUUAUUACCAAACUCAAAGAUCUAUUGUUAAAUUGAAACAAAAUCAAGAUUCCAUUUUCUCUUAUUACACAAAGAUGAAAAUGCUCUGGGAUGAGUUAACCAAUUGCAGCCCCUUGGUCACAUGCACAUACAGUGGACAAAAGGAUUUAAAAGAAAAAGAAUAAAAAAUUAAGUUAGGGCAAUUUUUGAUGGGAUUAAAUGAAACCUAUUCUGCUGUACGAGGUCAGAUCAUGUUAAUGCAGCCUCUACCAACAGUCAAAAAGGCAUAUGCACUUCUUUGUGAAGAAGAGAAACAUCAAGGACUCACUGAAGCCAAAGGUAUUGAUAUUGUUCAUGCCAUGAAUGUCAAAAUUCAUGAUAACUCUAAAGAAUCACAAUCAGAUGCUCAGCGACAAACUAGACAGGGGUCAUCUUCUUAUAGUAAAUCACAAAAGUCACAAGGAUCUAAAAAAUUCUUUUUCUGCACUUAUUGUGAGGGCACAACCCAUACUGUGGAUCGGUGUUACUACCUAAAUAGUUUUCCUGUCAGUCACAAGUCUCAUGGAAAAGAUGUUCAACCUCCAAAUCGAAGUCAGAAGCCUGUUGCACACCAAACCAGUGGUGACACACACAUGGAUACAAUAAAGACAUCAACUGACCAAUCUCUCCAAUUUACUCCUGAAGAGCUUGCACAAAUAAAAGCUUUCUUUAAGAAUGGUAAAAAUCCUACUCGUGCAAACUACACAGGUAUGCCUACACCUUUUUGUUCAUCUUCUAGUAUACAAAGGACAGAUUUAAAUAAUUGGAUCAUCGACAGUGGUGCAACAAAUCACAUAGCCACCUUCUUAACCAAUUUCACUCCUUUAUUUUCACAAGUUAAUUUACCCAAUGGUUCUUACUCUAAAGUAAUUGGAAUUAGUUCUACUCAACUCUCAAAUCAUCUGCAUAUUAAAGAUAUAUUAUGUGCUCCAUUUUUUAUGUUAAUUUGCUGUCCGUAAGCCAACUUACAGCCACCUUGAAUUGUUCAAUUCAAUUUUUUUCCUACUUUUUGUAUAUUGUAGGACCUAGCUUCGAAGAAGAUGAUUGGUUUGGGGAAGCAGCUUAAUGGAUUGUACUAUUUUGUUCCUCCAGUUAAGUCUACAUCAACCUCUCUUCCAAUCACUCAUCAUAUUGACUCAGCCACUAGCAUUACCUGGCACAAGCGAUUAGGACAUCCCUCCACAGCACCUUCCAAGUUCUUAAGCAAUAUUAUUUCCUCAUUUGUAUUUGAUUCUCAUCAUUCUUGUGAAACUUGUCCUUUGACAAAGAAAACUCAUUUACCAUUUCCUUUAAGUUCUAUUCAAACUUUGCAUUCUUUUGACCUUAUUCAUUGUGAUAUUUGGGGACCAUUUCGUACUGCCACUCACACUGGAGCACACUAUUUUUUAACUAUAGUAGAUGAUUUCACACGCUUUAGUUGGAUUUUCUUAAUAAAAUUCAAAUCUGAAACACAAGGGUUGCUUAAAACAUUCAUAUCUUAUGUCAAUACCCAAUUCAACUGUCAAGUUAAAUCCAUUAGAUGUGAUAAUGGUGCAAAAUUUGUGUCCAUGAAAUCUUAUCUCUCCAACUUAGGUAUCUUGUUUCAAAGCUCAUGUCCAUCUACACCCCAACAAAAUGGUGUUGUUGAACGAAAACAUAGACAUCUUUUAAAUGUUAGUAGAGCAUUGCGAUUUGAUGCUCAUCUUCCUUUACAAUUUUGGGGGGAUAGUUUACUUACUGCAACUUAUCUUAUUAAUCGUCUACCCACUCCCAUUUUGCACAAUAAAUCUCCUUAUGAAUUGUUGUAUAACAAGCCACCAGAUUACUCUCAUUUACGAGUUUUCAGAUGUCUUUGUUAUGCAACAAAUCUUCACCCUUCCAAUAAAUUUGACUCUCGAGCUAGAAAAUGCAUUUUUGUAGGUUAUCCUAUCGGACAAAAAGCUUAUCGCUUAUAUGAUCUACAAACUCACCAAUUUUUUUCAAGUCGUGAUGUUAUUUUUCAUGAAUCAAUUUUUCCAUUUUCUACUUCUGCAACAACAUCGAACACUUCCCUAAAUAUUUCACCACCUGUGCUACCAGAUUACACCCAUGAAUUUGCCCCUCUUGUGCCUCAUUUGUCACCUUUAGCUUCUGAACUAACUAUUCCAUCACCAUCUCCUCCUUCCAUAUCCUCACCUUCUUCAUCAGUACAACCUAAUCCACCUCCUAUCCGACGAAGUGACUGUGUCAAAUAGCCUUCUGUCCUUCUUCGUGAUUUUCAUUUUGGACAAGUUAGUACAAUACCAUCAACUGCAACCUCAAAUUCGGCAUCUUCAACUAAGUCAGGUACUCGGUAUCCUUUAAGUAAUUAUAUUUCUUAUGAUUCUCUAUCACUUACCCAUAAACACUUUGUUAAUAUCAUUUCAAGUGUUUUCGAACCAACCUCUUAUGCUCAGGCUGUCUUGGAUUCAAAUUGGAGAGAAGCAAUGAGACAUGAACUUGAUGCUCUCACUAAACAACAGACCUGGUCCUUAGUUCCUUUACCGGCUGAUCAUCGUUCCAUUGGCAGCAAGUGGGUCUACCAUAUCAAAUAUAAUUCCAAUGGACAAAUUGAACGCUACAAGGCCCGAUUGGUCGCGAAAGGUUUCUCGCAACAAGAAGGCUUGGAUUACACUGAAAAAUUUGCUCCCGUCAUGAAAUUAACAUUUGUCCGAUGUCUACUUGCUGUUGCUGCUGCCAAAAAUUUGGCCAUUAUACCAAAUAGAUGUGACUAAUGCAUUCUUACAUGGUGACUUAGUUGAAGAAAUAUACAUGACUCCACCACCGGGUCUUUAUCGACAAGGGGAGAAACUUGUGUGUCGACUGCAUAAAUCUCUUUAUGGGCUUAAACAAGCACAUCGGAAUUGGUUUGCAAAAUUUUCAAGUGCUAUUAAGAAAGCUGGUUUUGUUCAAUCACACUUUGAUUAUUCAUUGUUUGUAAGAACAAAGGGCUCAUCUACAACUAUGGUUCUUAUUUAUGUCGAUGACAUGGUGAUUACUGGAAAUGAUGCAGAUGCUAUACAUAAUCUCAAGAAACUCCUUCAUCAGCAAUUUCACAUCAAAGAUCUCGGCAUACUGAAGUAUUUUCUUGGGUUAGAAGUUGCAAGGUCCAAAACAGGUAUCGUUAUCUCUCAGCGAAAAUAUACUUUAGAGAUCAUUGAUGAUGUUGGUUAUUUAGGUGCUCAACCCUUAAAGUUCCCUAUGGAAAUGAAUCUCAAACUCACAAAUCAUGAAGGUGAUAUUCUUCAUGAUCCAGCUCGCUAUAGGAGAUUAGUUGGAUGACUGAUCUAUCUCAGGAUAACAGGACCUGACAUUACAUACUCAGUUAACAUACUGAGUCAAUUCAUGCAUGCUCUGAGAAAAACAGAUUGGGAUGCUGCUCUUUGGGUUAUUAAAUAUCUGAAAGGAAGUCCUGGUUUAGGUCUACUAUUUCCAUUUAAUAACUCCCUCACUUUGAAAGCUUAUUGUGACGCAAAUUGGGCAAACUGUCCAAUGACAAGAAGAUCAACAACGGGCUAUUGUGUGUUCUUGGGAAGUUCAUUGAUCUCUUAGAAAGCAAAGAAGCAGAAAACUGUCUCAAGAUCAUCUUCAGAAGCUGAAUACAGGUCCAUGGCAGCCGCAACUUGUGAAUUAACUUGGCUAAGAUUUUUGUUUAAUGAUAUGAAAGUCUCUGUAGGACCAGCAAUGCUGUUAUGUGAUAAUCAAGCUGCACUUCACAUAGCAGCAAAUCCAGUGUAUCACGAACGCACGAAACAUAUAGAACUUGACUGUCAUGUUGUAAGAGAAAAGGUCCAAGCUAGUCAAAUUAUCACCAAGUUUGUUCCAUCUCACUUGCAGCUAGCAGACAUCUUCACAAAAGCUCUUGCUGGAAAUAUUUUCAAGGAGCUAACAUCCAAGCUGAACAUGCUUGAUAUUCAUGCUUCAACUUGAGGGGGAGUGUUAAGAUUUGAUUUAGCUUGAUUUAUGUAAUUGUGUAUCAGAUCUUCUAUUUAUAGAAAGUCUCUCUGUAUUGUAUGUAAUUGGCCAUUAAUUUAGGUUCUUAUUUUGUUAGUUUCUUUUUAUAAAAAGCUGUCUAUAUAACAGCCUCUGUACUGCUAUACAAAAAAAAGAGACUUAUUUUCUUCAGAUUUUUUUAGACUUUGCCUUCUGGUGCAAGCACUUUUAUUUUUUUGAUAUCAUCUGGUAUAUUCCAUGUGUUUUCAUUUCCAAUGGGUAUACUGUUGCCUCAUAUGUAGCAAACAUCAUCUCUUUUGUAUAGGGAUGUGAAAAGUAAUCAUAAGGAUUUUAUUUAAUCUCUUUAAUUAUAGCCAUUACAUGUGAAUAUGGCAACUCAUCCAUCUGAAACUUGUUAUAAGUACAUGUUUUAUCUUUCAAGUUUACAACAUUUGAUAUUUUAUUUCAAAUACUUCAAAUAGAUUUUUAUUUGUUGUUUUAACCUGAAGAAUCAAAUUUUAAAAAGGUAAAAAUGUAAUAUCUAAUUUCAGAUAUAAUUUUUGUUAAGUAAAAUAUACUGAUAAUAUAAUUAAGUUAUAUUUAAAAUAUAUGAAAAACUAUUACAUUUAUAUGUUUACCUUAAGUUUCAGAGACUGAAUGUAGUUGUCAUUAAUCAUUUGCUUCGAUUUUGCUGCUACCUUUGUGAAAGUUGCUUUUGCGAUAUUUCUGUUUAUGGAAGUCCACCCUUGUACUAGACCUUGUAAAUACUCUAACAAUGGUGUAAUUGGUAAUCCUUAAGCUGCUAUGUUUGAUGCAUUUAGAGACUCUGCUAUAUUUGAUAUCAUGUUAGAGUAUCCAUUAUUUUUUGAGUAAAGUCUUGACCAUUUGUUGUAACUGAUACUGCUGAGAUAUGGUUUUAUUCUUUUAUUAAUCUUUUCUAACUCUUUCAUGUGACUAUCAAAUUGUUACUCUGUGUAUGAUCUAGCAGCUCCAAAGAAUGAUUCUCUUAUCUUUUAUGAAUUUCUUUUGAAUUUUGAUUUCAAGUUAUUUAACAAGUGAUACAUACAAACUCCAUAUGUUGCUUCAGGCUAUAUCUUCUUACAAGCUUUCUCUAUGCCUUUAUGUCUAUCAGAAAUUAUGCAUAUUUUGUUCUUGUACUAAAUGCUUGUCUUAUAUUUUUGAAGAACCACUCCCAAGACAAAUCAUUUUUAGAAUCUACUAUUGAAAAUGCAAGUGGAAAUAUCUUACCUCCUACAUCUUGUGUGCUUGCUGUUAGUAGAGUGUCUCCGUAUGUUGCUUUAGUCAACAACUAUUAUUGGUCUACAAUAUUUUUACUCUCUUAUAGAUGCUUCAAUUGCCAUGAACAUGUAGGAAGAAGUCACGAUUUGUUCUUAAUUUAGUAAUGGUACCUGGAUUUGUUUUUCUUAGCAUAUGUAAGUAACUUGGUACCUUUUGAUAAGACUCAUCUGACUUCCUUCUAACCAAUUCUAAUGCUUUUUCAUUUGACCUCCAUGCUUUUGCAUAAUUCAAAUCCAUUCUAUAUUUAUUUUUCAUGUCUCUUACUAUAUCUGAUGGGGUAUAUAUUAUUUUGAUGUUAAGGUAUUUAGACUUGAUGCAUUCUCCCACCAAAUUCGUUGUGGCUUGCCUUUGAUCACUCAAUAUUAUUACUAAUGGACAAGUAUGAUUUUUGUUGAACAUUUUGAUCUUGAACAUGCUUAUUUUCCCAUUCUUUGAUGCUCUUACAAACCACUUGCAAUUCUCAUCCAAACAAUUCAAGUAAUACUAUUUUUGACAAGAUUUGUUUACCUUAUAGUGAAAGUGGUUGUUUAUCUCAUGGCCGAUUUUAAUGUCUCUUUAUCUAUGAAAACUUGAUCAACUUUAACAUGUGGAUGUCUUGGAUUUAUUAUGAUUGUUAAUUCUUUAAUUGCACAUUCUCCUUCUAUUUCUUUUUCUACAACAACUUUUAUUAUCAAAUUUGCAUAAUCUAUGUAAUCUGGAACAUCUUUAUUUGUUAAGAGAUGUUCUAAAAUUGAUUCUUCAAUCAAUGAACAUUGUAAAUUUGUUUCCAUUGAACUUGAUGCAAAGUAGUUGAUUUAUGAUUGAAUCUCUACUGUAGUUAUACAUAAAGGAUAUUCGAUGAAGUCACUCUCUCUCUUCUUCAACUCUAGGUAGAAUAGAAGGCUUGCAUUGUCUUCUAUUUGUAGUGAUGAAUAACCUUAUUUUACUUGAUUUCGAAUCUCUAGUUUAGUUUGCUCCAUAUUAAUCUUUAUUUGUUCUGAUAUGAUUUGCACAAAAUUCACAAAAGCUGUUAUCCUUUAGUAAUAGAAUGCUCUUUGCAUAAAAAAUUAUAUAUCUGAUAUUUUCUUCUCAUUGUCCAUUAUGGUGAAGAAAAAUAGAUACUAUUGCCAUGUUUGUAUAUGAAAAAAUAAUAUAAAAGACUAUUUAACAAUUAGUAAUAGUGGCAGUAUAAAAUACUUUUUACUAGUUUACUUUUAAAUCUAUUAUAUACUUAUUGUAAAUAUAUACAUAUUGGAUACAUGUAUAUACUCAUUAAUUCUCAAUAUACAAAUUUUGUACAGUAUAUAUAUAAAACAAAAAUAAUUUAAAUAUUAAUUUUUUAAUUUUACAAUAUCUCUAUAUAUUCAUGUUAUACUUUUUACUGUAUAUUAUUUUUUUCACGUAAUAUAUAUUUAUUAUAUACUCUUCAUUGUAACUUUUAAAAUUUAUUUCAUAUAUUAUUUUAAACUACUUUAUAUAGUAUAUUAUUGAUUUAUUCUUUUUUAUUAUUUAUAUUAAUAUAAUACUCAAUACAAAUGCUUUAUAGGAUAUAUACCAAUAACACAUGAGUUUGAAUAUAUUUUUAUAAAAUUUCAAAAGAUAUACUUAUAGUAUACCUCUGUAUUACAUACAAUUCUGUUUUAGAUUUUCUACAUGUAAUUUCUGAUUAUUUACUUAUCUUUAGAUUGAAAACUUAAAUUCUUUAAUCAUCUUAUUCUACAUAUAAGUAGUUAAGUAAAUCAUAUAAUAUACAUAUUUUGAAGGAUUUUAAUGUAUUUUUUUAAACAUCAAAAAAUAAAAAAAAAUAGAUAGAUAAAAUUACAUUACCUAUUUUCAGAUUUGAAUUUGAUCAAAAAAUAUAAUAUACUUGUUUAUUGAAAAAGCUUUAUGUUCUCUCAUUUUAUUGUUUAUAGUAAAUUAUUGUCAAAAUUUCUAUUUGAUUUUUUUAGAUUUUGUGUUGUAAUCUUGUUAGAUUGAGUUGCUGCGAUUUUUUAGAUAUUUGAAUUCGUUAUUUUAGAGCAGAGUACGCCUGUUUUUUCUUAUAUUGUAUAAAAAUAUUUUUUUUGACUAUCAACGGAUUUUUUAAGUUUUUACAUCUAGUGAUAUAAAAGUUAGAAAGCUAAUAUUUUUUGACAUUUAUGUAAAAUUCGUGUUUUUAACACACUAAGAUUUAAGAAAAGCAGACCCCGGAUACGAGUCUAUGAUGAAUGAUGGGCCUUAACAAGCCUCUUGCAAAGUACAAAUGAAAAGAAAAAAACCCGCAAAGAACAACAUUUUGAAGCCAAAAUCCGGCAACCUCCCUAUUCCGCGUCCAUGGAGAAGAAAAAUGGAGAUUCCAGAGCAUCAUCAGUCGCUAGCCUAGCCACCACCGCCGAUUAACUCGAUUAUAAUUUCUCUCUUUUAUUCAUUAUUAUUAUCAUCAUAGGUACGUGCUCUCUCAUUUUGCUGCUCCCAAAACCCUAAAUUUUCUGAUUGCCUUUUUUUAUUUAUUGGCGUAUACUCUCAUAAUUGCAGCAUUAUUCGAGAUCAUUUUACAUAGUUGUAGCUUGUUCUCUCUCUCUUUAGCAAAAGAAAACCCUAUUAUUAGCUUAACCUAUUGCACUUGCAUUAGACUUUGUAUUCCAUUUGUUUCUAAGUUAGUGUUCGUUUGGAGUUGGAGAAAUUUGAAUUUGAAGUAGCUUAACUGUAACUCCUUUCUUUUUUAUUAUUAAAUUUACUUUUAGCGCUGCAGUUCUAGGGCUUGCUAUUUAUCUCUACUUUUUUUUUUUUUCCUUUUUGGGUUUAUCUGAAUGUGUAAUUGAUGUAUGCUCUCAUAGUCGUACAAUUAGAAUGUGUUAGUUUACAGAGAUUAAUCUAGCUACUUUCUUUUUCAACUUUCUAUUUUCUCACUAUUAUUUAGAGGGUGAGUUGGAUCUAUAUUCUUGAAUAAACAGGUAAUUAUCAACUUUCUGUUCUUUAUCUUUCAUGGCUUUUAAUCUUCUCACUAUUAUUGUGUGAAUUCGGAUUUUCCUGAAUUGGUGUUAAUGUUUUUUAUUAGAAUAUGCGGUCGUUUGUAAUUUGUAUUAUAACAUUGUCAGGAGAAGAGUGUAGUAUUAAUAUACAAGAUAGGUUGAUUAUUUGCAUUAGGAAAUAUUAUAAGGUAUCUCAUAACAGGACGCCAGGGGAAUCCCCAGUUCCAUAUUUUCAUAGCAUGCUCAAUUAGAGAGCCCGACCAAAAAUACUCAAGAUUUAACUCUCAUAAAAUUCCAAUAUCUCCUACUAACUAAAGCUCCAAAAAGAAGGAUCAAAGCAGCCUGUUCAUUUUAAUUGUGCCAAAAACAUUGAAAAAGUGCCAAAUAGUACUAAAGUUUGCAUUGGUGGACUAGUUUCUAGAACUUUUAUCAGGACACAUGUCAUGUCUAUCAACUUGCAUUAUUUGUAUAAAAGUGAUGACAUUUUUUUAAAGCUACUUUAUUGUUCAUUUCAGGCCAUUAUUAAUUAGAGAUUCAAUGCCUUUGGUUUUAAGGUGAUGAUAAGAAUUUGUUUGUGCAGGACCAACCGAUCGCCACUUCCUUUAUUAGUUUUUGGGGCAGUAUGGAUGGGAAUAAGAGGAAUGUUUUUAAGAAAUAUCAAAACAAUCAAUUCAAGCGGAAAGGGGUUACCAGAAAAGGAAAAUGGAACAAUUCUGGCCGUGAGGAAUCUUCAGGGAACCCACUUCCUGUUGAUACUGUCUAUCGUAUACUCUGUCCUUCAAGAAAAAUUGGGGGUGUUAUUGGAAAGGGUGGCGGCAUAAUUAAAGGCCUAAGGGAAGAGACCCAGGCAAAGAUUACAGUUGCUGAUCCUGUUCCUGGUUCGGACGAAAGAGUUAUUAUAAUUUAUAGUUCUCCUGAAAAAAUUUCUAGGAAUCAUAAUGAUCAUGAGGAUUUGACUAUGGAGAAUGAGCAGGACAUUAUGGAGCCUUAUUGUGCUGCUCAGGAUGCUCUCUUGAAAGUUCAUGACAGGAUUGUUGAGGAGGAUCUUUUUGGUGGAAUGACAUCUGAUGAUGAUAAUGAAAACGGUUUUGUCACGGCGCGACUUCUAGUUCCAAAUAACAUGGUAGGAUGUCUUCUAGGAAAACGUGGAGAUGUCAUUCAAAGAUUGCGAAGCGAGACAGGUGCUAAUAUCCGUGUUCUUCCUGCAGAUCACCUUCCCACUUGUGCUAUGAGCACGGACGAAUUGGUUCAAGUAAUAUAUCUUGCCCCUUUGAUUCUUUUAGUUUCACAGGAAGUGCCCAUAGCAUUUGUUUAUAUCUGACUAGAUCUUAUAUCUUCUUUUCCACUUCUUUCUUACUGGAACCACAUUUUAGUGGAUUUUCUGCCUACCAGGAUUUUUUUUUAUAGAUGUGGCAUAUGUUGGUAAAUUAAGAAAUCUUAUUCCCAAUCUGUCAAAGCCACUGUUCCAGUAAAGUUUUAUGCUAUAUGGAAUAGUUAUAAAUUAUGGUUUUACAAGUUAAGUGUCAAAAGCAAAUUUAAUUUUAUUGUAUAGUCUUUAUAUUUUCUUGGAAUAUCUUAUGUUAUUUAUUACAAUAUAUUUAGUAUAGUCACUUAUCAAAGAUAUGUAUUUCAUUCAAUCACGGUUAGAAUCCAGUUUUGUCGUAGUUUAACUUUUGAUGCUUGACCCUUCCCCUCCAGUUCAAUUAUGGACUGGUUUUGAACACAUUUGUUUGGCAUGGGAAGCUUAUUUUGUUUUCUAACAGUGCUAAAGCAACUAUAACUUUGAGAUUUGUGCAUUUCUAAAUAUUGACAGCUUUGUAUCAUUGUAUGAAUGUAUAUAAUGAUAGCUAUCAUGCCCAAUAGGAAUCUUCUAAAAGUUAUCUUGCUGUGCUAUCUAUAUGGGAAUAUAAUUGUACAUAUGCUGUCUAAUCUAGGGUCCUUCCUCUGACUUAAUGUUCCUAUACCAGUUGCUAGUGAGCAAAGUUAUUGAGAGUUGGCUUUAUGUUACUGUUUGAAAAUGAGAGGCUCUGAAAUGGUGUCCCUUGAUUUAAGAAUCUGAUUCUUAUUGACAAGUUGGAUGCUGGGGUUGCAGUCUCUUACUCUCUUAAUCUGUAGCUCAUUUCGUCACCCGGUGAUCUUCCUUGAUCAAUAUGAUUACUCAGGCAGUGCGUUUCAGUUACUUGCCAGCUUAUAAAGCCACAUUUCAGAUUUCUGGCUGUCACUUCUGAAGACAACUGCCAUAUUGGUUGGAAUAGUGANNNNNNNNNNNNNNNNNNNNNNNNNNNNNNNNNNNNNNNNNNNNNNNNNNNNNNNNNNNNNNNNNNNNNNNNNNNNNNNNNNNNNNNNNNNNNNNNNNNNNNNNNNNNNGCCUGGGCCUCCUCAGUGCGGAGCUCUUUUAGCAUCAGUUGGCCAUGAGUUGAAGCUAAACCCAUUAUGGACAAAGGAAGGAAGGAAAGUACUAAUUCUGGGUUUUAACUUUUCAUUCUGCAAUGUAAACCAGAAGUUCAUUAUAUGUGGACCAUAAUUCUUGCUGUUAAUCCAUUUCGAGCCCUGUUCUUUCAGUUCAACUGCGAAGUAAUUUCUUAGGGAUUGAUAUCUUAGUUCUAAGAUUCUCUUCUUUGUCUCUAUAACCUCUGAUUCUAGGUGCAGCAUAAUGGAUUCAAGAAGAGCUUCCAGUUGUCUCUUUGGAAGUUUAUAUUUGACUACGUGAAACAGUAUUAUAAAUGGAUUAUAAGCAAAAUAACCAUCAUUUUUUCUCUACACAAGGAAAGGCCAAGAAUUGAGAUGCUGCAAACUCUUCAGAAUCUUAGUGUGGCAGGCCAUGAGGUUUUAUGGGAUUUUAUUUUUUACACUUAUGCUUAUAAUAUAAAUAAGAUAGUAUCUUUAGAUCACAUGUUCAAUUGCUGCAAGAGGAAGAUGGUUAAAUGAAACUGUAUAUGUGAUCUGAAAGUGAUCGAUGGAAUAUGAUAUGACCAUGUCGCCUAGUGGAUUAUGGUGCUCUUAACUCCAUGAUUAAGUGGACAUGUGAAUGUUGUUUGGCUUUGUCAAGACCUUUGGCAUUGAAAUCUUUAAACUUUCUACUGAUUUCGAAGUAAUACAUGGAUUUCUUACUUGAACUCCACCUUGUGAAUCAGCAUGGUGGAAUGCAUGCCCUCUUGUUAAGACAGGUCUUCCACGGCUGUUUGCCUGCUUCUUGUGAGCAGCUCAAAUUGGUGCCAGCCUGUACAUUACCCGCCAAAGAUGUGACAACCAAUUUCCCAGAUGAGAGCUGACAUGAUCUCUUCAUGCUUUGUCUUGGAAGGAAGUCUCUAGACUCAAGUUUGAGAGAUAUAUGCCCAAAUGUGAAUGCACCUGGAAGAUCAAGGCAUAUCUUGAUUAAGAUGGUGAAUCAAAGGAUGGGGCCAGUUAUGCAGAAGAGGUGGGUAGAGUGACCUUUGUUCACUACAUUGUUAUUGUAGAGUGCAGGAAGAUGAUGUAGUGAGCCAAAUAGGAGUAGUUGAAGGACCAAUUGCAUUGUGAUAUCUCUUUUUUCUGUACCACAUCUUAUACUUUUCUUCAUUGCCAAAUUUGUUUUUCAUGCCUUUUUAUAGGAGACAGUUUCCAGAUAGUUACUGGGAUGAGUUGCCCAUGUUUUCAGGUGUUUUAUGUUUCUCUCCUCUAUGGCCAAUAUCAGUUAGUGUGUACACUUCCAAAUAAGGUUAUCCUUGUCUCAUUAUGUGAUACUCUAACUACUGAAAGUUGCAGCAAAGCAUUCUGGACGAUUACCUAUUCAAGUUGAAAUUCGAUUCUCAUCAAGUUGGUGCCAUUCAGUGCAUAAAGGAUAUUAUCAAAAUAUGUAUGCCUAGGAGGAUAGAACUUAUGGAGAUAACUGUCUCCAUUCAUUGACUCUUGUAGAGCUUUAUUCCUAGUUGACUUACAAUUUUGAUGAGUGCAUGCAAUAUGUACUUGCUUCUAUUGAAAUUUGUAUGGACAUGCAUCCUUUCUAGCUAUGGAGUGAACAAAUAGAGUUUAUGUAGUUAUGUAUAUAAAAAAGAUUAUUGCAUUAAUGAAUAUUGAUACUAUAACGUUGUUAUAGGGAACUGCAAGUAAACUGUUUUGUGAUAAUUUCUAACUUUAUGUUGCUUAUCAAUCCCUUAAACUUCUUUUCUUUUUUUGUCAAAAUCUUGUCUCAGAAGGAAAAUCUGAACUUUUUGUAACUUUCAACUGAAAGUGUAAUUUUGGAAAGUAUGUUUCAGAUAUCUGCAAAACCUGAUGUGGCGAAAAAGGCUCUUUAUGAAGUGUCCACUCUAUUGCAUCAAAAUCCACGAAAGGACAAACCUCCAAGUGUGCCUAUGCCUUACAGUGGCCAAAGUUUUCAUCCUCCUGGUGGUCCCAUGAAAAAUCUGCCACCACUUGGAAGUCCAAUGUGGCCUCAUCAUAACAGUUCCCACAGUAUACCUCCCAUGCCAAUAAUGGGGAGAUAUGGCAGUCAAUCCUCAGGAUUUGGGCCAGGUGGCUUUGAUGAUGUUCCUCGAGGACAUGUUGCGGAACCUUCAGCUGAGUUUUCUAUGAAAAUCUUGUGCUCUGCUGGGAAAAUUGGUGGGGUAAUUGGCAAGGGAGGCUCUAAUGUCAAAGUGGUUCAGCAGGAUACCGGAGCUAGUAUUCAUGUUGAGGAUGCUUCAGCGGAGUCAGAUGAACGUGUGAUUCGUGUAUCUGCUUCCGAGGUCUGCUUGGCUUUCAAAAGCUGCAAAAGCCUGCAAUUUAAUCAUUCAAUGAUGCCUAAGAUUGUUAUGCUGCCAAUAUACUAAUGUGAAUUAUGGUACUGAUAUUGUUUCAGGCUCUCUGGAAUCCGAGAUCACAAACAAUUGAUGCAAUCCUUCAGCUUCAGAAUAAAACAAGUGACUUUUCUGAGAAAGGUACAAUAACGACCAGACUUCUUGUCCCCUCGAGUAAAGUUGGCUGUAUACUUGGACAAGGAGGUCAAGUUAUCAAUGAAAUGAGGAGGAGAACUCAGGCAGACAUUCGCGUUUACUCCAAGGAUGAGAAGCCUAAGUGUGCAUCUGAAGAUGAAGAGCUUGUUCAGGUGACAUGGUUAAAUGGUGCAUUUAUAAUCUGUAUCUGAUGUUAAUCUUUAUACUUCUAGUUGGUGAUAUUUUCAUGAUUUUGAUUUUCUUUUUGGCCAUUUCUUACAGUAUUGAUCUAAUCCUUACUAUUGGUUAUAUUAGAUAUCUGGCAAAUUUGGUGUUGCCAAAGAUGCUCUGGCAGAGAUUGCAUCAAGACUAAGAGUAAGAACUUUACGAGAUGUGAAUGCUGGAGCAGAACCUGGGCCUGUUGGACCUAUCCAGGGAUUUGGGGCUGCACGAAGCUUGCCUGGCAGAGGAUCAUCUGGUAUGAUGGGAGCUAGUAGUUCUGGUGGAUAUGAACCUCUCAGGGUAAUUUUCCUUCUCUCCAUAUCUUCUGGUUUUUGUACUUGGUAUUUAUCGAAAAACUAUGGAAGUACCUGCUAAGUGUCUAUAACAAACUUCACGACCAGUAUCAAAGAGCUUAGUUCUAUGGUCUUAUAUACUACUUUGUGGUUGUUGAAAGAAAAUGGUUCAGCAUGUGUAUCAUUCCUUACAUUUUAUUUAAUGUCUUUCCGUGCUCGCUAUUUUGUUAUUUUCCAAUGGAUGAGUAAAAUGUGCAUGUAUUGCCAUGGAUAGUACUUAAUUGCAUUGCAAAUAUGGCCUUCUCUGUAUGACUACCUCUCUUUGUAGUAUACAGACAUGUAUAUAUGCAUGUGUAAUUCUGGAUUCCGUUGUGUACUAUGAAAAUAAAGUACAAGACAAACUACUGCUUUACCAAAACAUGAAGAAAGAAACUGUUCGUUUAACAAUUCUCUUAUAAGAACAGAAACUCCAUUAUUAUAAACUGCACAUUACCAGCUAAUGGCCAGCUGAAAUAACUGUUGGGAGGGAACCUUUGGUGUCAGUUUAAUCCAUAAUCUUGUCUCGUGCAAAGUGGCUGUUUUUGUGAUUUAAAACACGUUAGUCUUUUGGUUGCAAGUACAAACUAUUGUGUGAGCAUUGGAGUGUAAUGCUCAUGAAGGCUCAGUGAUUGACUAGGAUUAGGAAAGAAAGCCUAGUUAAAUACACUAAAAUUGGAGCUUGAGAGAGGUAUCUCUGUAAUUGAAGAAACUUAACUUUUAAAAUCUAAAGUUUCAAGAAGCUAUCAGUUAAAGUAAUCAAUGAUAAAGAUAUCAUGAGUUAACACUUUUGCAACUUUUGGGAAAACAAUGAUGGUUGGAGACAUUAGAUGAUAUUAUGAAAUGAAUUUUAGAACAUGUGGUAAGAGGAAUGAGGCUUGGAGGUGGUCUUUUGCAUCUUGGCGUGAUUGUUGAAGAAGUUAGAGAGAAAUGAUGGGAUUAUAAGAGGUAAGUGUUGUCUUAAACUUAGAGAUGAAAAUUUUCCUUAGUGACGGGGAACCCAUCCUUGCCAAAUAUAACAUGGCUGGAAUCACUUUGGGCAACGAACUAUUAGUUAAAACAUUAUUCGUUAUUUUUUAUAUCAACUAAUAGUUUGGAAAUGUUAGUAUAUGUAAAUAUUUGAUGAUACUAUACAAAUGUAUGAUUUUUUUAAUUGUUUAUAAAACAAAUGAAAUGGGGAACUUGGAAAUGAUACUCGUCCCGUAUGUAGCAUGGAAACUUGGAAACAAUAGAAACAGCAAACGGCAUUUUUCAAAAGUAUAGAAACAGGUAUGUGGGGAAAACUUAUAAAUAUUAAAAACAUAGACGAAUGCCUGUGAAUAUUAAAAAUAUGGUAUCAUAUAUAUAUAUAUAUAUAUAUAUAUAUAUAUAUAUAUAUUAAAAUCUAUAUAUAAAAUUAUGAAUAUUUCAAAAUACCAUUCAAGUAAAUAACUCUAUGGAUGAAAAGAUAUUCAAUGGUCAAAUCACUUAGAAAAGAUUAUCAAUAAAACAAACAACUAAGCAAGUCUUUAAAAAAAUUUCUUAAUAAACAAAGUUCCGUAACAAUAAUAAAUACUCAUUUUUCUUUUAAGAAUUUCUUAAGAAGGAAACAUGCUUUCAAACAGGAAGCAUGUGUUAAAUUUUUCUAAAUUAUAGAAAUGGCCCCAAAUUGUUUCAGAGGCGUAUUUUAUAGUUUCUAUGCUUCAUAGCUCGUCCAAUGUUCCCUUCUGAUUCCUAAUGGAGCAGGGAUGGGAAUAGAGAACCCACCAUGCCCUGUGCCAUUUUAUAUGCAGCUCAUAUGCAAAUUAUUUGAUUAUUUUUAUUUUUAGCUUAUUUUCUCUUUUUCUUGUAUCCAUUUACCAAAACAUGUAGCUUAUUCUAUUUUGUGUUAUUUCUUUUCCUUAUUCAGUAAACUUCUUCAAUUAUAGAGAAGGCUAUCUUCUUCUCCUUGUUACUCAUCAUCUCUCAUUCAGAUACAGUUUUUUUUUUUCUUUCAGUUUUUCUAUGCUGUAUCCAUCUUUUUCAUAGGACUAAUUUUACUAUAAUUCAUAGAUCCUACUAUUGUGAUAAUCUUCAGUAUUACCCCCAAUAUAUAACUCGUGAAAGCUAUUCAAUAUUUCUAUGUUUAUAGGAGAGGCUUGUGGGUUUCUUAUUGUAAUUUGUUUCUAAAAACUGAAGUCCUACUGCAUGAGAUUUAUUGCAUAGUGAGGGUUAAUUAUGAGCAGCCUUUUCUCUGCAUCUCAAGGAGGCUAUGUUGUAGUUUGAACUUGUGAUCAUUAGGUUAAAAUGCAGUAACUUUAUUUUUCUACUGGGGACUUAUCUUCUGAAACAUAUUUAUCAAGUUAUUUGCUUUAUUCUCUCUAUUAUGUUAAUGUCUUGAUCACACUGUCCUUUUCUAGCUUAAUACACCAUUUUAGUGCCCAAGGUAUUAGAUUUAUUGCUUUCUCAACUAUUAUCUCCUCAUGCUGCUGCUGUGAAUGUUUCCCUUUCUGUUACCAUGUCUGGUUAAAGAACCUUAACUUCAAUAUGGAUCUAAUAACUGUAGUAUAUGCUGAAGAGUGAAUGGAUUCAACUAGAAGUAAAUCUAGUGAAGUAGUGAAACACAUGAAAAAAAGAGUAGGUCCUCAACAAAUUAUAAUGGAAGAGAAGAUCACCCUGACCAAUUCUACUAGUUUGAAUUGAUAUUUAGUCGACUUAAGUGCAGUGUACGCUCUAUAUUGGGUUCACAAGUCAUUCUAAAUAUAUGGGUUGAUAAAGUCGGCCAUGUUAUUUUUAUUGUAAUUAUCUCAUCAGUUUGGAUAGACGAAUCAUUGUGGGGUGGGAUUGUAUUUGCGGUGAAACGCGAUUAAUUGGUAUUUAAUAUUGACAUUCUUUUGAUGUUCUAGUUUUAAACAUUAUAAAAAUUAAUGAUUUACAAUGUUUAGAUGCACGAGUAGUAUUAUCAAGAAAAUUGCAAUUAUGAUUUCAUUUUUCUUUGAAAGAUUAUUGGCAACAAAUAUCAUUGUUCUCCAUCCUUUCUUGCAGGAUACUGAACAUGAGUAUGAAAGUCAUAGUUAUCCAGUUCCUCCAGCUGCUGUUGGGUACUGAUACUAUUUUAAUUUUAUAAUUUGAGUGUGUAUGAUAACUAUGAUUGCCUUCUUUACUUUACUAUUGUCUUCAGUCCCAGAUAUCGAAAUGUAAACAGUGCUUUGGAUGCUAAUAUUUCAAAAAGUGGAGUCAAUUCUGUUGCAGGAGCUGGGGGGAUGUCAUAUGUUGGUGAGGUAUGUCAUUAAUUACGCGGACUAGGUGAAAUGUUGCCCUGCAUAUUUCUAUCACAACAUGCCUUUCUGUCAACUUCAUUUCUGGGAGAACAGAUCUACUGAAUUUGGAUACUAAAGAAAAAUUUUCCUCAUCUUAUUUAUUUCUUUAUCGCAAAGUAAUAUCAUGACAAUUCCAUGACUCUACUUAAAUUACGACCAAGACGGAUUAAUUGUUUGUUACUAAAUUUCUGAUUUUUCUUUUUUUAAUACUUUUCUCGUGCAAUCCCUUUUGGCUCAUGUAUUUGCAUAUAUAACAGGUAAUGGCUCCAUGUUGGGUCUUUCAGACAUAAUUGAAUAUAAAAUUGAUACCAUUUGAUGAAAGUUCUUAAGUAGACUUCCUGAAAAAAGUGGCGAAGUUUGCAUUACGUUUUACAUCUUGAAAAUUUCAUCUGUUGCAAGAUUGUUAAAUCACUGCUCUACAUCUUAGGUUGCUGGGACUAGGAUGAAGCUCCAAGAUCCUCUUUCUGGUGGAUAUGAAAGUUUCGUUGAAUUCCGCGGAUCUUCUGAGCGGCUGAAUGCGCCACAAGGCAUGCUUCAUCCUUUUGGGCCUUCUGCUGGACACAACAUGAAUCCACAACAAGGUCCCUAUCAAAGUAACAUGACUGUCCACCCAAGCUCCUACCAGAAUGCAAGUGCUCAACAGAGCGUCUAUCAAAAUGUAAAUUCUCAGCAAAGCCCCUAUCAGAACAUGAACAUGCAGCAAAGCCCCUACUCAGCGAAUAUUCAUCUUGGUGUCUAUGCCAGCACCAAUGCUCCGCAGGCAACAUACCACAAUAUUAGCGCUCAGCAGGGCACCUAUCAGUACUGAUUUUGAUAUGGAAAUUUUUGUACAAUAAUUAGCAGUCAGGAUUCUUAUUCUGUAACCGGUGGAUCAGCCUGCCAAUAGAACAGACUGAUUUAGAUGAAGUUUAAGCCGGUGCAUCAUUAUCUUAGGCUUUUGCAGGCAGUAGGGAACAAUUUUGGUUGUGCCAUGCUUCUGCAAUUUGUAAACAUCGUUUCGGAGUAGAGGAAUAUACAAGAUUAAUUUUUCAAAUGAUGGAUCCCCUGUUUAUUACAAACUGAAUUAGUAGAAUCUGCCUAGGAAUAGGAUGCGUUGGGACUCCCAUGUAAUUUAUUAGCUUGUUCUAAUACAGGAGAUUAUUCCUUUUUUCUCCGACUCUUAUUUGUUCAGAAAUGAUAAUGUAUGCUUUUCUAUUUUCAUUAUCAUCCUUCGAUUGUUCGAUUUGGCAUGACUGUGAUGGGGCGGCAUAUUGACAAGCUUUCCGCAAUUGAAGGAAAUUUUCACUCAUCAGAUGUUCCAUCAAUUGAAUUAUGUUUCUAUUUUUGUUAAUCCGUUAAUAUAAUGGAUGUUAAUGAGGGCAAUAUAUGAGCUCAAUACCUAAUUCCUUGACCUAGGAUUUUUAAUUUACAUGGUUGUUUCAGUAAGGCUGCAAAAUGUAUCACGCUACGCCAAGCCUAGAUAUCAGAUACGAGCACGUUUGGAUUGAAGCUGCUAGCCUGCCACUUCCACGAGACCUGUUACAGGUUUCUUCUUCCUUUAUAUAUAUAUAUAUAUAUAUGUAUAUAUAUUUCCAUAUUAUAAUUAUCAAUUAAUUUGCUUAAUGUGCAUGAUUUAUUAUUAUUAUUAUUAUUAUUAUUUAAUCUUUGUUUCUUAAUUAUUGCUUUAUUAAAUAAAUGAAUAUUUUUUAUUUAAAAAACAUGAUUUUUAAUGAAUAAAAAGUUUAUAACAGGAAAAAAGAAACAGAUGCCUAUAGUGGUUCUCACUUCAUAUUUAUUUUAUAGGACUACAAAAUUAAUCUGACACGUCUCUUAUUUUCUAAUUUUUGUUGAAGUAAAAACAGUCGUUCACAAUGGGCCAAAAACUCACCAAAGGCAAACAGAAAAAGAUUUUAAACUCAAAAAGCUUUCUUCAAAAAGAAAUAUUUUUACGACUUAUUAAUGCCAUAUUUUGACCUACUUUAAAUCUUCUUAUCUGUAUAUGGGCAAUAUGGCCAUUUCUAAACCAUGGUUGACUUUGUAUCAAGUGGCAUUCCAUUUAAGUACAAUUACUUUCCUUAACCAUCUUAGGUAUGCAAUAUCUCCAAAAAGACUUCAUUAUCAACUUGGCCACUUUUAAGAGGAAUUGGGGUGGGGUUGACUCCUGUUUGACAAGAAUUUCAUGUUGAUUUCCCUCGUCAUCCAAUAUACUCCUCAAUUGAACAUUCUCUAUUAACCACAAAAAAGAUUUCAACAGCUGGAUAAAGUAUUUCAUUCCAAUUUCAACCUGACAGCUGGUAUAUACUAAUUAAUAAUAAUAAAAAAUCAUACAUAGUAUUAAGUGAGUCCAUUUUCUUUUUAACAUUCUAUUUUGUAAAUAUGAGAGUAAGGUAAAAUAAUAUUUUAUAAAAUAAUCGUUACUUUCUUUCCAAAUAAAGAAUUGAAGUUCUAAAAUUUUAUAAAAUCUUUAAAAGCUUUGGAAAAUCUCUCUAUCUAAUAGGAAAAAUUGACUGAUGUAUGAAUUAUGAACUACACUAAGUGUAAAAUAGACUCUCUUUUUAUUUUUCCCAAUAUAUUGUCAUUUUAAAGUAGUAUAUACUAUAGUUUUAUCAAAGAAAAGUAUAUAUAUAUCAAAAAGCCUAUCAUCAUCACUACAGGAAGCAACACCAUGCUAUAUUUUGAUUGAGAAAUUGAAUACACAAAACUGAGUGCCCCCAUGUGCCCCCCAAAAAUAUUCAUGCAAUCAAAUUUGUCUUCCUAAAAGUAGAUCAAAGGUUUAUCUUUUCUUUUUUAUCCAAAUCCCCAUUAAUCCAAUCCAAGGUCUUUGAGUGCCCUUCACUAACCCAUAGAGAAAGGCCCCCCAAUACAAGAAAGUGUUACAAACUGUUGAGGUGAAAGUGCAGUCAGCAAUUCACUUGAAAAGUUUCUUGGAUCAUCCACCAGUGUGGUUUUGAAAUUGGUGAUCCACCUGAGCUUUGAAUUCAUGGGCUGAAAAAGAGAGUAGCUGAACAGCAACAUAGCAUGUUGAGCAUUCUUCUUGUCUCAUUCAAUCGAUGGCAUCAAGGCUUAUUCAUGGUGAUAUUGUAAUUAUGUGAUGAAAAAUGUAACAAAACAUGGAAAAAGAAAUUUAUUCCACCAUUGCACUCCAUUAUGGUUUACAAAAAUACAUUUAGUAUGAGGAGUUCCUAACAAGAGAUAAUGCUUUUCUUUUUCUGACUUGCACCUUUUUGUAGCAUCAAUGGCAUUGUUUCAUGUAUUAAUAAGUAGUUGGAGUGAUUCUUAUCCCUGAAAUUGAAAGGUAUAAAUUGUCCACAUAAGUUGGGACAAAAGGAUCCCUGUUGGAAAAGAUAAAGAUAUAUUUAUCGUUAUAUAAGUGAAUAUAUGAGGAAUCUUCAUGCUUUGAGUCACUUGAUAAAUAUACGAUUGAUUUAAUCUCUGUAAUUAUGUUGCUUAGAAAAAAAGAAAAGAAAUGCGACACGAUAUAAUAUGAUAUAAGGAUAUAAAAUUUUUAAAAAUCUAAAAAAUAAAAUGGUACGGCGUUAAAUAAAAUUUAAAUAAAUAAUAAUUAUUUAUAAAACAUUAAAAUAUAAAAACAAUAAAAAUUUAUGGCUAUUAUCAUAUUGAACUAAAUGAAGUAUAAAUUGUUAAAAUUGGUCAUAUUGCUAUAUGAUAAAAACCACGUAAAAAGUAAUUUAUAUCUUAUUAGCUUGAUUUUUUCACUAAAAUACUAACUGAUAUUUCCUAAAUUUAAAAAAUAGCUAACUACUAUUUGUAUAGAGAAACUUUUAAAUAUGAAUUAAUUAAAGAUCAGAAGUAUUAACACAUUAAGAAAAUCAUAAUAAAAAAUUAAAAAAAUCAUCUCUAAAAAGAGAGCUAGACAAAUAGUUUAAAUUUAAAAAUCUUUCUCAAAGUAAGAAAUUCAAUUAUAUAAAAAACAAUUAUUAAAAAAGUUUUUCAAAAUCUCUAAAAAUAAAUAAUAAAUAAUAAAUAUUUAUUUAUUAAAGUUUCUGAUAGUAUUCCAAAGUUUUCAAAAAGUUUCAGUAAUCCAUUUUAAAAUCUUCAUAUAACCUACCUCCGCACCAUACGGCAGAAAGUAGUAAAAAUUGCAGCCAUAAUCAUUACAGUUGCCAUACAAAGAAAUGACACUGAUCACUCGUAUCUCUUGCGAUUUUGCCUUCCAUGACAAGAGCUCUUCUACAUAGUAACAGUGUUUUCUUGACUUUGUGAUAAAGAGAAAAAAAAAAAAAAGAACCUAGUGGCUCCUCCUCACCCAGCAAGCCUUCUGUAUACAUAUAUAUGGUCAGUUUAUUUCCGUACUUGUCAACGUCAAGGAUUCAACUUCAUCCACAUGCUUCUUUAUCUUGGUUCUUGCUCUUCAAUCUGUUACACACGGUUUAAUUUGAAUGGCCAAUCCUCCAUUAGUAAUUCUUAAUUGCACAGCUUUGAGUAUUCAAAAUUUAUACUUACUUUUUGAUGGUUUUGUUUUAUAACUAUCUUUUAUUCAUUUUCUAAUAUGGAUAAAAUAGAAACACGAUGUGUGAAUUUAUCAUUAACAAAAGUGAUUAAAUUCAAAUAAAUUGUAUAAUUAAAUUUAGCGGUCAUUAAUAGAUAUAUUUAUAGACUCAUCAAAAUCGGUAAAUUUAUUUGAAAUGCAUAUAAAAAAAAUUGUUCCAAACUAUAUCAUAUGUUAUAUUUAGAAAAAAAAAGAAAAAGAAAAUACUAAUUAAGAAUAUUGACCGUCUCUAAAAAUCAUACGAUUUUAAUUAUGAGUGGAACUCGAUUCUGAAUCUCUUAAUGUUUAUCAAGUUUGUAAUGUGGAGAAUUCAUGUCCUCAAGUGAUCACCUUUAUAAUGUAUAAUUUGAUACAAACGUAAUCGUUUUUUCUUGUGAUAAUCUCGUCUUUAGUGACUUUCAAUUAGUCAAAAUAGCAAUUCAUGCCAAAUCUGCCCGACAAUAUCUGAAUCCAACCAUCAGCCAAUUCAUGCUGAUAUUUUUGGGGUUUCCACAUCGCCUGCAUCAACAGUCGAACCUUUUCACAUUUGCCAAUUGAGUCUCAUUAACAGGUGCGAAAACAUUCAACAACCCCUUUUUUUGUUUUCAAUUUAAUAUUAUUUGUUAGAGUUGUGAUUGUAAUAUUUAUGCAUAUUGAAAAUAUACAACUUUUAAAUUUAAUUAAUGUUUCACUCGUUUUUUUUUUAAAUAUUUUUUUUUGAAAUAUCUAGUCCUGGUGGAUGAUCCCACCGUACACUAAACUCAUUGAUGACUGAUACAUAUUUAUUAUAACAUAUAUAAAAGUGGGAAAGGGAAGAGAGGGAUAACGACCCUAACGCUCACUUAAGUUUGCUUUAGGUUUCAUUUUGGUCACUAAUUUUUUUUUUAUUUCAUUUUGGUCACUCGACUUUUAUUUGAGUAGCAAUACAAAAAGAUGCUAAUGUGGCCUAAGAUUGUGUGACACAUGUCUAAAGCCUAAUCCUAGUCACUAUCAAAGUCAGAUUUGUGAUAAAUCUGCAUUAAACACACAUAAAAAUAGUUAAACUUAAAAACUUAAUGAACAUAAUAUAAAACAUAGAACAUUACUAACUUUCUAUCCUCCAAAUGUAUCCUCUUACAACAACUAGCAGAGUUACCUGAGCUUGAUACAACACUAGGCAUCAUGGGUGUUGUCGGUUGUGAUGGAGAUGCUUAUGAAGCUGGAGAUGCAAUCUCUAGUUGUCGUAUAGGUGCCAAUAGACACGGUGAUGGCACUAGAGUGGAUGGAGGUGCACUCAAGAAUGGAGCUGUAGAUGUUGGUUGAGCUGAAGAUGGGGCUCGAGUUGUCAGUGAGGAUAGAGCAGCAGACGUGGGUGGAGCUGUGGAUGUGGAUAUGGAUGGAGCGGUGGAAUCGGUAGGCGUUAUAGAUAAACUCUAAGUGGAUAGAGGUCCCCCGCUUGAGCUUGGGCCCUGUUCACCACUCCGAGUGCCAUCUUCACGGUGUCAUCUAACAUGCAUCCUGUAUAAUAAAACAUUGAUUAUGAUUAUAAAUAAAUUAAUAUAAAAUAGAAUGAAUAAAUAUAUAAAAGUGCAUAAUUACAAGGAAAACCAACAUGCAUCCACUUAAUCAUAUAAACAUCAUAUAAGUACCUCUAUUCACUAUCAGUAUUAUUUAUAUCAUCCAUAUAUAAUUCGUCCUCUGAUUCAGAGGGAGUGUUUUAUUGUAGUUUCGGUUCUUUUUCUGAAUAAACAUUAUUAUUUGCAAUAUCAAUUAAAUCACCCAUUGGAUCAUCCAAUGUCGCAACUUGAUCUUCUUCUAUUGUCUCAAUAGCAUGGAUUUUGGUUAACUCAUCCUAAAAUAAGGAUUGUGCAAGCGCAACUGUAUUUUGAAAAGAGCUUUCCAGGAUAUCAACAAUUCCUAUAGGUUUAAUCUUCGAAAUAACUUAUAAUCGAUUUUGUCUCGUCACAUGGACGGGUACAAGUAAUAUACACCUGAGUUGCUUGCGAUGCAAGAAUAAAUAGUUCGUAUUUUUCAUAGUCUUCUAUGAUUGAUUUCAACAAUUUUAUAUUGCUUAUGAACCUUUUUACCCAUAUUAACUGUUGGAUCAAACCAACUUAUAUAAAACCGUUCUGUUAAUUGGCUAAUUAGGAUAUUCAAUCCAGACAACCUUAAUUAGCUAACAAUAGAAAUCAUUCUCUAAAACACUAUAAUUUUGGCCUUUGAUGCAUACCCCACUAUUUAAGUCUAUACAUAUCUUCAUUUGUAAUGAUUGUUAUAGUUAGAGUCUUAAAAACAAGCUUAACUCAAUUACAGCCUUUCAGACAUUUGCCAACAGUAGUUCACAGAAGGCAAUAGGCAUUAACCUCUACAUGAAGACAUGGCAAUCAUGGAUUUUCAUGCUAAACAACCUUAACUUUAUGUAUCUAUAUAUCUUGCCAUAUUCAACAUAUACUUAUUAUGGAAUUUCAACUUUUUUAACCAUACAAACAAAACUAAUUUAGCUUCUUAGUCAAGUGGAUAGUAAGCCUUUGGAUAUUUACCAGUUGACAAAGACUUUCCAAGCUCCAGCCUCCGAAAUUACUCAUUUAACUCCUACCCAGACUUCAAAGUAUCCUUUGUUUUUCUAGGUAUGUUCAACAUUGUGUUAAAGACAUUAUCAAAAAGUUUUUCUUAAUAUGCAUAACAUCAAGGUUUCUCGAACUAGAUUGGAGCUCCAAUAGGAAAAAUUCCAAAAGAUGCUUGGUUUUUUUCAGCCUCAUGAUUUACUUACGGACCAUUAGUUGCAUUAACAUCUACAUAUCUUACCUUUUUCGUUAUUCUACCAUCAAGCAUAUACUUAAAAUUUGUUCUUCCGAUCUAAUAGGGGGUGCAAAUUUUGUUACAAUUUGAUUCUUCCAAAAUCCAUACCUAUUCCUUAUGAAAGGAUUAUUAGUAUCUAAGAACUUCAUGUGAUUGUUAAACUAUGAUUGCUUAUCGCUUUUAUUUAGGGUAACAGCAUCAAAGUCCUCCAUGCAAUAAGGACAAGCAAACCACUAGUGGUGGACCCACCAGACAAUAUUGCAUACGUGGGGGCAUUGUUGAUUAUCCAUAUUAAAGCUAUUCGUAAUUGAAAGUUUAGAUUCUGAGAAAUGUUGAAUGCCUGAACCCUAUAUUUCCACAACUGCUUCAAUUCACUAAUCAAUAGCUACAUAUACAUAUCUAUCACGUGUUUUAGCUUCCGAGGUCCUAGAACAAGGACCGUUAAAAAUAUUGAUGUCUCUUUCAUAAACAUCUAGGGAGUAGAUAAUACACUAUCACUAUCGCUGGCUAGCAUGAGUACUAUUGCUUGGACUGUCCAAAAGGUUAGAAGCCGGUAGUGUAGAGGCUGAGACAGACAUUUAUAAUUUCAAAAGAAAAAUUAGGAUAAACAUCAUUAAAAUCCUUCCAAGUAAUAGAAUUUGAAGGAUGCUACAUUAAUGUCCUCGACCCCCUACUUUGUGUGCCACCUCAUUUCACUAGUAGUUGCUUUUGAAGCAUAUAAUUUAAGCAAUCGUGGCGUCAAAGGAAAGUAAUACAUUUUCUAAAAGGUAUAUAUGUUUUGCCUCUUUGACCGCUUUCAGUGACAUACUAUCUUUUGUAAUAUGGAUGGCCAUAAAUCUUGCACACAAUUAAGUUCACAUCUUCCUUGUAAUAAUUUAUGCACUCAUUACCAUAACAAUGUAUCUUCUCUACUGGUAAUCUCAACGCGCGAACUAAGUGCUUCGUAGCAUAGAAGUUUCAAUGAUAAUGUUGUUUUCCAACACGACCUCUUUGAUUAGUUGAGCAUCUACAUCGAAAGCAUGCUUUGAUAAAAUGGUGAUCGGCCUUGAUAUUCAGCAUUCUAGAGACUAAAGAUAACUAUGAAUAGGUCUGACACCCGGGCCACAACGAAUUAACUACUAUAUUUAACAUGUCAUAGAACUUUUGCACCUCCCAAUUAGGAAUCUAUUGCUCAUUGAAAUUGGGAUUGAAUGAAGGUCCAAAAACAUCCAUCACUAUUAUCUAAUACUGGUUUCACCUAUUAUUGCAGGUUUUUCAAAAUGGAAAAAUUGGUUGGCUUUUAGUGGUCCUUGCCUCUAUGUUGUUAUGUCUUAUCCACACAUAAUAUCUCAGUAAGAAGCCAUAUCUUAAAAGAUGUAAUUUCACCAUUUCAAUAUCUAGGUAUCAGUAGUUUUAACACUUAUUGCAUGGAUAUGGACACUUUAUUUUUAGUCCAUCCAUCCAUUCCGAAUGAGUGCACGCAAAAUCAAUGAAUUUGUUAAUGCCAUUGACAAAGUAAAAAUUGGGAGGCCAUUUAGGUAGUAAGUAGCGACAGUUUUGUAUCCAUUGGUAAUGGUGGUCGCUAAACUGUCUUUUCUUUGUAGUGGAUGUUUGAAAUCCUUAAGGACCAACAUGAUUUCAUGAUCAAAAUUUGUGUAAUUUUGGAUACAUAUAAAAAUGCUUGAUAUAACUAUCUUAGUGUCUUAUACUAAAAAAUGGAGUCAUUUUAUAAGGGCAUGUUAGUUUUAUAGGAAAAAUCACUAUAACAAAUCCUGCGUUUAUUGAUGGAAUAGUUCCGUUGCUAAAUGUCAACAGAAUUAUGACAGCAUAUUGAUGAAAACUAUGGACCAAGUCUGGCGGGGAUAUAGCAACAGUCUAGUGAUGGGCAGCACGUCGUCACUAGAUGGAGGACCAAAUUGUCGCUCUUAGUUUAGCGACGACCAUCUUGCUGUCAUUAAAAAUUGGCACCAAUGUGGCGCAAAUGUUUGCCACAUUUGCUCAGGUAUUAGCGAUAGUUUUAUCUAUUGCUAGACGUAUGAUUUCUUAUAGUGAAUUUGUUGAACUUUCAGUAAAUUUUAAUUAAAUAUUAAUAAUAUUUCAUGUCAAUAUAAAUCUUAUAAUUAAACAUCUAGAACAUAUUAUAUUUGUAGUCAUAAUUUGGUGUCUUCUGCUCCAGUUUCUCCACCAGCUGGUCCUUUUGAUAUGCCUGAUGUUACCAUUGACGAUUAAAUUCACCUCUUUCUACUUUUUAUUGGACAUUAUUUGUAUUUUUGUACUAUUAUUAGACAUUUUUACUCAUAGUAUAUUUUCUCAUGUAUAUUAUCCCUCCAUUUUCAAUUUAUUAUACUAAAUAGCUCUUUGGUCUAUUUUAAUAAAAAGUCAACUGACUAAUAUACCAAUUUAAAAAACUAAAAGUUCUAUUUAGUCCCUGUAAAUUUUAUAUGAUCAAAUUCACCAAAAAUAGAGUUUUCUUAUUAAAUUAGUAUAAAUAGUUACUUGAUACAUUUUGAAAUAUUUUUAAUAAAAUAUCAAAAUUACCUAUAUGAUUUUUUUAGCUAAUUAGGAUAUAUUUGUUUUUAAUUUUUUGGCUAAAAUUAUUUUUGUUAUUGCAAAAAUAAAUCAACAAGUAAAUAUAUUUAUUUGAAAUUUUACUGAAGUUUAAAAAUAUUUUAUACAAACUUUAGAAAAAAAUAUAUCAUCCAUAUCUACCCCAAAGAAAAUACUUUUUCAUAUGUUGGGGCUUUCCAGCCUUAGGAAUAUACUUUUUUUUCUUAUUUUUAUCAUAAUAUCUAAAAUUAGCUUAUAUAAAACUCUUCUUGAACUUAAAUAAAAUUUUAAGAUAAAAGAUGUUUACUUGUUAAAUUAUUUUAAGAUAAAAUUUAGUUUCGGCUGAAUUUGAUUGAAUAAAAAGUCUAGUUGGAACUUUAAGAUUUUGAAAAUUAUCCAUUAACUAGUUGAGCUUUGCCAAAAUAGAUGAAAGAAGUAUUUUUAGUGUAAUGAAUUGAAAAUGGAAGGACACAAUAGUAUAAUAUUAGAAAAGCAAAGGGGUAGUAGUACAAUAUGCCAAAAUACAUGGGUGUUUGUCAUUUACCUAUAUAUAUAUAUAUAUAUAUAUAUAUUAAUAUAUUAAUAAUACAUAAUUAUUAAUUAAUUAAUUAUUUCAAUUAAUUCCUCAUUUAAUUUUAAAAAAAUUUAAAAAUAGACCCAAUUUAGUUAAAAUAAUUUUCCAGCUUUUAAGCAAUGGAAAUAUUUAUUUCUGAAAAAUAAAAAUUAAUUUGCCAUAGAUAGAUUAAUUAAUUAAAAAAUAAUUUCUUUAACAAUGGAAAUAUUAAUUAAUUUGAAAAAUAAAACUUGUAGCAACAACUUGAUGAGAACCUAAUCUAUCUAAUAGAAUAAACAUGAAACACAAAUAGAUUUUCCCCAAGGAUAGUCUAAAGUUCAAAUAAAAUAGAUAAAAGAUUAGAAUCCAAUACUAUCCAAUAAGCAAGAACUCUAGUUAUAAAGGAGGACAUUAAAAUUAGAUUUGAAAAUCUAAUUGAUAAGUUCGAAAGUUGUUUACCAUAAACCCUAAAAUUUGAUAAGAACUCAUGAUUUUACCAAGAGCAAAGAGAAAAUGCUCUUUUUAUGUUAUUUCAUUCAAAUCUGUAAUAAAUAGUUUGCAGCUACAUGUAAUACUUACAUUACUACAACCCUAAUACUCAUAGGAAGAAAUAAAAUUCUAAUUCUAAUAGUACAAUAAUAAAAAUCUUCCUAAAUGAAAUAGAUAUCCAAAAUACUUAUUCUAAUAAGAAAGAAAAUAAUAAACUAUUUUGACUAAUCAAUAUCCUUAUAUUUUAGUAGUUUUGACUAUCCAAAGUCUUACACAAAAUAAAUUAUAUUUAAUUAAACAUUAAUUUUGAAUUUUAAGCCAUUUUUUAUUCUAAAGACAAUCGAACUAGCUCGAACCCAAAAUAUAAAAGUUGCAGCCUUUUUCAUUAGCUUUCCAAAAACUUAUAAAUCACCUCAAUUUGAGUCCUAUAAAUAAGACUUAAAACAAUAUGUAGUACCCUAGAAAAACGAACUUUUAUGAUUGUUUUAUAUCACAUCAAACCCCUUUUCUUGAAGAUGAUUCAUCCUCAAAUCAUAUCUUUAUUUUGUUUUCUUCUAGUUGACACUGCAGAAGGAUGUUAAACAUAAUCUCUCUCACACUCUCUCACGUGUUUCACUAAAAAAUUGCAGAUCAUUAACACUUUGAGAUUGACUAAUGUAAAAUUCAACAAUGACAAUUUGAAAUCAUACAAUCAUUGUGUAUAUUGAAAUCCAACAUGAAUACUAUGAAACUGAUUGUGUUUAACCUGUUUUGUAACAAUUUCCGAUAUACAAAUCUUAAUGAGCAUUGAAUGACACCAAGUUUGAGUGGGUGCAAAAGCAAAAUAAAUAUUUUAACUAAAACAAAACAAACACAAUAAUAUUCAAACCAAAUAAUUCUUUUGAUAUGUAAAGUGGAUAUAAAUAAACAAAAAGAAGAUAGAUCUUAAAUUUAGAAAAAGCUCUGAACCAAAUGAUGUGAACCUAACAUAUCUAAUAGGAUAGACCUGAAUCGUAGAUAAAUUUUUGCCAAGAAUCAUCUAAAACUCAAGUAGAAUAGAUGAAGAACUAGAACUCAAUGCCUAUGUAACAAGUAAGAACUCUAAUUAUAAAGGAAGAUGCCACAAUUAGAUGUGAAAGUCUAAUUGAUAAGUCAGAUAGUUGUUCGCCACAAACCCUAAGAUUUAAUAAGAACUCAUGAUUUUACCAAAAGCAAAGAAAUACCACUCUUUUAUAUUAUUCCAUUGAAAUCUCUAAUAAUUGAUUUGUGGCUACAUGUAGUAUUUGUUCUACUACAACCCUGAUACAAAUAGGAAGAAAUACAAUGCUAAUCCGAAUAGUACAAUAAUAAAAGUCUAAAUAAUUAAGCAAAUAAUAAACUACUUUGAGUAGUUAAAAUCCUUAUAUUUUAGAAAUUUGACUAUUUAAAGUUUAUAUAAACAAGUUUGAUUUAGUCAAUUAUCUAUGAUUUUCAAUCUAUUUUUUUACUAUAAACACAGUUGAUCUAGUUCGAACCCAAAAUACAAAGUUGCAGCCUUCUUUGUUAGCUUUUCAACACCUUUUGAAUCACCUCAAUCUGAAUCUUAUAGAGUAAAUAAAACCCUAAAAUAAUAUGUAGUGUUCUAGAACUACGAACUUAAUAUGGCUCUCUUCUAUCAUAUCAUUCGUCGCCAAGCCUAUUUUAAUGAAGUAUUAGCAAAGGAUUGCAAUCACUAAAAUUAAGGGCAAACAAUAAAAAUGCUACCUAUUUAAUGACAACUAUUCUUUUUAAAGAUACAAGUCUUCUUGUUAUAUUUAAAAAUGGAUGACUUCUAAUCAUUAGACUAUAAUGAUAACUAAUUGAAUGACAUGUCAUCCUGUCAUUAAAAUUAAAAGCGAUGAAACUUUUUAAGGACAAAAAUUUUCUAAAUUAGUUUAAUAUCCACGCUUUGCGUGGAGGUUAAUAAAAGUUAUAUAUAUUUUAUUAUGAAUUAUUAUUAUAUUCAUAUUUUAUAACUAAAUUUAUUACACCUUAUAUAAUAAUUAUAUUACUCAAUUUUUAUCUAAAUCAUUAUAAUUUCUAACAUAAACUAAAUAAUUAAGAAACCAUAUAUGUUACAUAUUUCCUAUUAAUAUUAAUUUGUAUAUCAAAUAUAAAUAUAAUAACUAUUAUAACAUAUAUAAAAGUAGACGUCGUGACAAUAGAGCCGGCCGACUUCAUUUCCAGCUUGAUCUAACUAAUUUUUUAAAAAGUAAAAAAUUAAUUUAAAUAAAUUUUUUUAUGAGUUGGAAUUGGAACUAGUAGUUUCGGUUCUAGCUGAGGAGAAACCGAUCUUGACCGACUUAUGAUUUUGUGCUGGUUUUAGAGUCUGUUUAACCAUUCUGGUUCCAUUUACCCAACUUAAUAACUGACCAAAAUAUUGACCGAGCAUGACAUAAUAGGCUGAGCAUAAUAGAAUAGGCCGAGCAUGACAUAAUAGGCCGAGCAUGAUAGAAUAGGCUGAUCAUGAAAGAAUUGGCCCACUAGACAAGAGUAGGCCGAACAUGAAAGAGUAGGCCGAUCAUGAAGAAUAAGGUGAGCAUAACAUAAUAGGUCGACCAUGAAAGAAUAGGUCGAGCAUUCUAUACCGAGUUGUCAUAACCAAGAAACACUUGGUGGACUAAGUCCAAAUUCAAGUACAAUAAGAAGUCUUGAAGAUCAAGUCUUAGUCGGACUGUAGUUAGAAAUUUGACCUGACCUAGGAUUCUAUUGUAUGACAAAGAAAACUAAUCCUUAAAGGAUUCGGAGACUUGACAUUCAUAAAAUCCUACUCCUUAUAGGAUUAGGAGACCUUCAGUCUCUAUAAAAAGAACUAUGAGACAACAUAUGUUAGAGAGAUUCAUUAUUCUACAAUUACUAUAUACUUUAUAACUUAGAAUCACUAAUGAGUUAGCCAUCUAAAUGAGUGGCCAGACAACCUCGUCUUGUGCUUUCUAACCAUUAUUUCAAGUACAUUGGAGCUCAGAUUAGACUUAAAGACCUUGUUGAUAGCUUACCUUUCUUGAUCAAGUUAUCAAAUGGCGUUGUUUAUGAGAAAAAGAAUUAAAAGUCUUUUUCUAUAAAAUACAUAACAAAUUAAUGACAGCAAGCGAGGACAUUCAUGGUCUUCACCCAUAAGUUCAUCCAACAUCAAGAAGUAAGUACUAUACUUAUCUUACUUAUCUAUCUUUGGCAAUUAGCUCUAAUAGAAAUCAUAAGGCGAUAUAAUAAAGAGGAUCAAGACAAGGAAGAUGAGCAUAUGGACACACGAGGCACCUAUCCAAACAAGGAAAGAGAGGAUCUAAAGAUGAUACUAGCAGUAAAAGAAUGUUAAGGGCCGAUCUCCAAAAUUCAUGAGGAAGCACCAAAGCACAAAAAAAUUGAUGAUCUCUAAAGCUCAUGAGAGAGCACCAAAGAACAUAACAAAGUGCUGAUCUUCUGAUGUGACCAAGGGCAAGAGUCCAUAUACUUCAAGAGGCCAAGACCCUUUAAGCAUCCAAGAAGGACUAAUCACAAGAUCAAGGGCUAAAAAGAUGAAGGAAGCACUUAUUGGGCUUAUUAAGAAUAUUUGGAUUCAAGACACUACAAGCCAUGAUGAGUCAACUCUAAAAUCAAGUCCAAGGCUUAUUAGCUUGAUCCAAUACCAAAGGGCUUGAUUAAUUCCAAUUAGGUCUUAAUUAUUCAAAUCAAGCUAAUAAGUCACUAAGGAAGCAAGUUGGGCCAAGGAGGACUUAAAGAGCAAGCCCAUGUGUGUGACCUCCUUAAGUAAUUAUGAUUUCAAUUUAAACUUGUUGACUAGUCAACAAAGGGAGGGUGGCACCUUCUAUUUUUUAUUUAAAUUUUUUAUUUUAUUUUAUUUUAUUUAGGAAGCAAUGAUUUAUUCUCUAAAUGAUUUAUUUAUGUCUUUUCUAGCUUAAUUAUAGAGGACACAUGAUUGUUUGCUAUUUAGAAAUUUUAUUUUAUUUAUUAUUUAGGUUAGGAAGUAAUAUAUUAUUUUCUAAGUGAUUUUAUUCCUUUUCUAGUGUCAUUAGUGUCAUUCUAGGGUUAUAGAAGGCCUAUAAAUAUCUUGUAUUCAGCUACCUAUUUUAAUUAAUCUUGUAUGAAUUAUUUUCUUAUCAAUAAAGUGAGAGUUAUUUCUUUACUUUGUUCUUUGUGAAAUUUUCAAGUUUUCUUGCAUUAAAUUUUUUGUUUUAUCAAUUUUUAAAACUUAAAUUUUUAAGCUUUUAGAAUUAUGGCGAUAUACAUAUUUUUAUAACUAAAGUUCUUGAUUCCUUAUAAUCAAAGGGUUUUAAUUCCACCAUCAUAGAUAUAAAUUUGACGAUCCUAAAGUUAGCAUCCAUUUCGAUUUGGAUUCUAUCUCUCUAUAGAUAGAGUUCACAUCAUUUGGUAUUAGAGCUUUGGCUUUAAAUCAAGUUUACUUAUCCAAUUUCCAAUUGUUUGUUUGUUUUUCUUAUUAAUUCAAUUUCUUUACCUUUUUCAAAAAAA
rnacentral:lncRNA from 1 species